rnacentral:lncRNA from 1 species
GCUCCGCCGCCAAUCUCGUUCCUGUGUCUCCUCAUGUGACCUCCUAGAGCUUGUCCCAUCGGAAACUCCACUCCGCAUAUCGGACAAGGGUGCGACGAAGGAGCUUUGGCUUUCUUCACCAAUCCAGAGAGACUCUCAUUGUUGUUAGGUUUCUUGUGACUCGCACGGUGACCUCCCAACGCUUGAAACGAAUGAAACUCUUUCAAACACGUUUUACAUGUGAAAACGCGUUUUUGAUCCCCACCUUUUUGUCCGACUCUUGAUAAAAGCAUCAGACAGUUCGCCGCCUUAGCCUCCACCGUCGGGUUAAUCUCAGAGAUUGCAACCAUUUUUGUUUUUCUUUUCAGAUGUUAAAACGAAACGAUUAAAGGUUUGUGUAUGUGUUUGGUGUGAUUGUUAUUGUUGUGAGUUGUUGUUGUGUUUGUGUCUGUUUGUUUGGGAUGUAUUUAUAGAUAUGGAGUUGUGUGGACUGAAGACGUGUGGGAAGAUGACGGAUAUACCCUUGUGACUUGGUGGAUAAGGAAGUGGCUGGGAAGGAGUGUGGUGUUAUCGUAAUUACGUGGAAAAUGAAGGGGUAGAGAACGAAGAUGCGAGUUAUGUGGUCACGACUUGCGACACCGCGUAGCUUUGGAGACUUUCGUGUGGAUGAGAAUCUUCCUCGUGCUUUCUCGAACCCUUAGAUAUUUUUUUUGAAAACAUUAAUACUCUGAGUUUGAUUUAUUGUCUUCUAGUUACUACUUACUACACCCUGCGCGUGAUUUUCUCAGCCGUCUCUAGAUACUAUAUUUUAUAAUCAGCCUCCUGGAUAUUUUUGAUUCAUACAAAUGUACUUUUAAAAUCAUGGUUUGGAUUCCUAACUUAUUUUAUUAGCUUAUACUAAAUAAAACUGAAAACAGAAAACAGUAUUAUUGGUUUCUUUUUUUUGUACAAAUUUUUUUGCUUAUAGCAAUUUUUAUUUACUUAUUUAAAUUAUAAUUUAUCCAGAAGUAUGAUAUAUACUGGAAUAGCUAGCAAAGAGUGUUUGUAUCUCUUGAGGAAGAAAAAUAACAAUUUGUUAUAGAAUGUUCUAUAAAAACUGAUGUCAGCAAUGACCAUUUUACAGUUGAAUCCCAGCGAAGGCAUGACAAAACAAGAUGCGUGAAACGUAGGCGCCGUGUGGAGUAAGUGAGAGUAAAUUAAGGAGGCGAUAUGUACGGAGACUUGGUGUAAACGUGGGAAGCAAGAAGAGGAGAUAAUUUUAAAAAAGGGGAGAGUGACGUGGAUCUUCUUCUAGUACAUGUUUCACGCGGUCUAAACUUGGUUAAGUAGUUGCUUAUAUGCCUUAACAUUCUUGUUUUCACAUUCCCCUCUCGAAGCUUCUCCAUUUAUUGAAUAAUCAGUUAGAUGAUUCGGGUCAAGUACAAAAAGUCUAUUCAAAAACAGUUUAUAUGAUUGGACAAGUAUAUGGUUGUUGGGUGAUAGGAUAACCAACCAACCAACGUAUAAACGGAUAAACAUCACAUAGAUGCCCGACUUGUUUAGUUUGACCCUAGCUCUAUCAAUUUCCGCUGUGCUUUGUACGCCAAAGAAAGAAAUAGUAUGCACUCAUCAUACUUCUAGAGUGUAUAAGGGCAAGAUUAACGGCGUCCCAAUGGGAUGUCCUUAGCAUAAAUGACAUUUAAUUUAAAUCAAAAAGAGACAAUUAUCUAAGGACAUAUCUAAUUUAAGAUGUUUUUGUUGUCGUCGUUAGGUGAUACGUGGCCUGGGGUGAUUGGGCGAUGAAAACGUGGUGGGGAUAAUCGAUUUGGUUAAGUGUUGUGAUUUAAUUUUCUUGCCUUUUCUUCUUCUCGACCGACGAAAUGCCUCUCUUCGAUCUCCUCUCUUCGAUCUCCUCUCUUCUCGACUGACGAAUCUCGAGCCAUCGAUCUCCUCCCUUCGAUCUCCUCUCUUCUCGACCGACGAAUCUCGAGCCAUCGAUCCGACUCCCACGAUGAUAUUUAUCCGAAAUGGGCUACUUUUAUUCAAUCUAUCGGACUCCCACAAGGUCCAAAACAUUGUUUAUUUGCUAAACACCAAGAAUUUGUGCGUAAAGAUGUUGAGCGUGCCUUCGGAGUCCUGCAAGCUAGAUUCGCGGUUGUUAGAAAUCCGUCUAAUUUAUGGGAUAAAAACAAAAUAGGAAAUAUUAUGAGAGCAUGUAUCAUACUCCAUAAUAUGAUUGUCGAAGAUGAACGAGAUUCCUACGGAAACGCAUCAGUAUUUGAACAAGGAGAAGAUGAGGAUCCCACUUUUGUAGUCAGACGACCUACAAAUCUCGGUGCUACAUUGGGACGUCGAGCAGAUGUUCGGGAUACACCAGACCAUCACCAAUUAAAAGCAGAUUUGGUUGAAAAUAUAUGGGAUAAAUUUGGACAUCUCCCAAUGUAAUUUUAAAGUUUCUAUGAAUUGAAUAAAAUGUGUGUUUGCUUUUAAUUCUCUAUGUAUGUUUUCGAUAAUUUGUGUGUUAAAUUAAAUAUGUAAAAUGGAAAUAAGUUUUAUCUUAUAUAUAUUACUAAUUAUUAAAAAAAAAAAAUCCUAAGGACCAAGAAUAAGUCCCACCAAUAAUCAUCAUUUCAACACAAAGUCCUUACAAAUGUCCUAAGCUAAAAAUAACAAUAAAAAAUUAUAAGGACACCAUUCUAAGGACAAUGGAUAAUGAUGCUCUAAGACCAAUCAAAAUAUUUGACUUUUAUUUUAUUUACACUCCCAAUUUCAUUUGGAGUAAUUAUUCUGUAGAAUCAUUUAUUUUUCACUCUAAAAUAUAUUAAAAAGAGGUUUAUAUUGUAAAAUAAACUAAUCAUAUUUAAUAUUUUAUUAUUUUACUAAUUACUCAUCUCACUCAAAAUAAAGUAGGGUUGAAGUAAUUAUUCAAUUUUUUUAAAAUGAAGCUAUAUAUUGGAGAUAUUCGUAGAAAACUUUGGUACCUAUAAUAAACCUAGAUUAUUAAUAACUAAAUAUGAAAUUAGUGUUUUAGUUACCUGACCAACUAAAAAACAUAAUCGUCUUUCAAAAAGCAUGGAAAUGACAAAUUCGAAUUGAUCCAAGGCCCUGGCCCUGGCCCAUAUCGCCACACAUUGAUACGCUCUAUUAAGGAAAAAUUCAAAGAAUGAAGGAAACUAAUUAUUAUAUCCAUUAAAAGAAAAAACAAAUCAACAAACAGUUCUUCCAAGCUCCAACUUGAGAUUCAAAUUCUCAACCAUCCCCAAACUCAGAUCCAAACACGCCACCCUCUUCCCACUGCUCGACUUCUUCAACGUCGUCAUCGUCGGCUCCGGCAAUAACGCCCGUGUAACCAACGCUGCUCCGCCGCCAAUCUCGUUCCUGUGUCUCCUCAUGUGACCUCCUAGAGCUUGUCCCAUCGGAAACUCCACUCCGCAUAUCGGACAAGGGUGCGACGAAGGAGCUUUGGCUUUCUUCACCAAUCCAGAGAGACUCUCAUUGUUGUUAGGUUUCUUGUGACUCGCACGGUGACCUCCCAACGCUUGAAACGAAUGAAACUCUUUCAAACACGUUUUACAUGUGAAAACGCGUUUUUGAUCCCCACCUUUUUGUUCGACUCUUGAUAAAAGCAUCAGACAGUUCGCCGCCUUAGCCUCCACCGUCGGGUUAAUCUCAGAGAUUGCAACCAUUUUUGUUUUUCUUUUCAGAUGUUAAAACGAAACGAUUAAAGGUUUGUGUAUGUGUUUGGUGUGAUUGUUAUUGUUGUGAGUUGUUGUUGUGUUUCUGUCUGUUUGUUUGGGAUGUAUUUAUAGAUAUGGAGUUGUGUGGACUGAAGACGUGUGGGAAGAUGACGGAUAUACCCUUGUGACUUGGUGGAUAAGGAAGUGGCUGGGAAGGAGUGUGGUGUUAUCGUAAUUACGUGGAAAAUGAAGGGGUAGAGAACGAAGAUGCGAGUUAUGUGGUCACGACUUGCGACACCGCGUAGCUUUGGAGACUUUCGUGUGGAUGAGAAUCUUCCUCGUGCUUUCUCGAACCCUUAGAUAUUUUUUUUGAAAACAUUAAUACUCUGAGUUUGAUUUAGGGUCCGAAUGGUGACCGCGGAAUUAGUAAAAUAAGCGGGACGGAAUUUAGGUGCGGGACGGUUCAACUGCGGUUCGUGCGUUUUGCGGGACAAGUGCGGUUUUGAUAAAAUUAGCGGUGCGGAAUUGUGUUGAUUGGUGAAAAUCUAUAGUACAGAAUUAAACAGUUAAGAAAAAUUUAAAUAAUGUAAAAUAGAUAUAUCAAUAUAUUUAAUAUAAUUAAAAUGAAAAUUGUUUAUUUAGUGUUAUGGUCUUCUAGUUACUACUUACUACACCCUGCGCGUGAUUUUCUCAGCCGUCUCUAGAUACUAUAUUUUAUAAUCAGCCUCCUGGAUAUUUUUGAUUCUUUUUUUUUUUUUUUUUGAAAGAAUGUUAAAUUAAUUCAAACAAAAAGCUGUUUUACACUUUGUGUUACAUUGGGAUAGAAAUUUUUUUAAAACUCAAACCUAUCUAUAACCUAUCUCGUUGCAAACCAUAGAACUAAACCUCCCGUGUGCGCUCGGGCGCGGAUGGAAGACAAUGGAUAUUUUUGAUUCAUACAAAUGUACUUUUAAAAAUCAUGGUUUGGAUUCCUAACUUAUUUUAUUAGCUUAUACCAAAUAAAACUGAAAACAGAAAACAGUAUUAUUGGUUUCUUUUUUUUUGUACAAUUUUUUUUGCUUAUAGCAAUUUUUAUUUACUUAUUUAAAUUAUAAUUUAUCCAGAAGUAUGAUAUAUACUGGAAUAGCUAGCAAAGAGUGUUUGUAUCUCUUGAGGAAGAAAAAGAACAAUUUGUUAUAGAAUGUUCUAUAAAAACUGAUGUCAGCAAUGACCAUUUUACAGUUGAAUCCCAGCGAAGGCAUGACAAAACAAGAUGCGUGAAACGUAGGCGCCGUGUGGAGUAAGUGAGAGUAAAUUAACGAGGCGAUAUGUACGGAGACUUGGUGUAAACGUGGGAAGCAAGAAGAGGAGAUAAUUUAAAAAAAGGGGAGAGUGACGUGGAUCUUCUUCUAGUACAUGUUUCACGCGGUCUAAACUUGGUUAAGUAGUUGUUUAUUAUAUGCCUUAACAUUCUUGUUUUCACAUUCCCCUCUCGAAGCUUCUCCAUUUAUUGAAUAAUCAGUUAGAUGAUUCGGGUCAAGUACAAAAAGUCUAUUCAAAAACAGUUUAUAUGAUUGGACAAGUAUAUGGUUGUUGGGUGAUAGGAUAACCAACCAACGUAUAAACGGAUAAACAGCACAUAGAUGCCCGACUUGUUUAGUUUGACCCUAUCUCUAUCAAUUUCCGUUGUGCUUUGUACGCCAAAGAAAGAAAUAGUAUGCACUCAUCAUACUUCUAGAGUGUAUAAGACCAAUCAAAAUAUUUGACUUUUAUUUUAUUUGCACUCCCAAUUUCAUUUGGAGUAAUUAUUCUGUAGAAUCAUUUAUUUUUCACUCUAAAAUAUAUUAAAAAGAGGUUUAUAUUGUAAAAUAAACUAAUCAUAUUUAAUAUUUUAUUAUUUUACUAAUUACUCAUCUCACUCAAAAUAAAGUAGGGUUGAAGUAAUUAUUCAAUUUUUUUAAAAUGAAGCUAUAUAUUGGAGAUAUUCGUAGAAAACUUUGGUACCUAUAAUAAACCUAGAUUAUUAAUAACUAAAUAUGAAAUUAGUGUUUUAGUUACCUGACCAACUAAAAAACAUAAUCGUCUUUCAAAAAGCAUGGAAAUGACAAAUUCGAAUUGAUCCAAGGCCCUGGCCCAUAUCGCCACACAUUGAUACGCUCUGUAUUCUAAAUCUGUUUCCAUAAUUUAUAUCCAACGAAGACUAUUCAAUAAUAUCGAUAUUAGCCGAAAAAGUGAAAAGUGAAAAGUAAAAACUAGACUGGAGGCCUUUUCAGUCCAACGUUUGAGCUUCUUAAAUUCGAGAGUAACUUUGGAAUUGCGGAUUUGACACGUGGCUACCUAUGGAGUGUUUACUGACAAGUGUUACAUAAACUCAGUUUGUGUCUGUUGACCCCGCUAAAGCUUUCACUCACUCGGGUUAAACCCGGCUACGAAGAAGAUGAAAACGAGAUCAUCAUCCUCCGGUGACCUGGUUCCGGCGGGUAACAGUCGCGAAUCCCAGCUACAGAUCGUGGACCUCACUUCAUCUCGCCGGAAAUCUUUGCAUGGUUUGAAUCGGCCGCGACCAUCGUCUCGUAGAAGCAAAGGCGGUGUAGACGAUUCGGUAAGUGAAUAGCUGACAAAGAUCGAAUCUUUUCCAGAUUGUCCAACACACAACGUUGAAUUUUGUCACAAGAAUAACAAAUCAGUGUUUUAUUUUUUCCUGUAAUUGAAUUUGGAAGAGGAAUUUGAUUAUGGAUGCGUGUUUUAGAUUUUAUCAUUUGUGCAAUAGAAAUGUAAAAUUAGCUCCAUGGUUAAAUGCUUGUGAGGCUCUAUGAUUCGUUUCUUUUACAUACACUUUCUUGGUUCAAAGUACAUAAACUCAAAACAGAACCAAACAAAAAGCUUAUUCACUGUUUUUUUUUUUUUUGCUUUUACAGGAUCGUCGCAGCUAUGCCUCCAAGGGUUUCCAUUUGCCUAAAGGAUGGACCGUUGAGGAGUUUCCUAGGAGAAACUCCUACCAUAUUGAUAAGGUAGAGCUGUCUUGGCUAAUUUGAUUCGCAAUCAAUCAACCUAGUCCAAUUAGUGUGAGAGAUAUUACAAAGAGAAUAGCAGAAUCUGAGAUCAUUUGGUUAGUCUUAGAAUUGAGAAGCUUUUUAUCUCUGAAACUGUUAGUAAGAAUUGUUCUUUGCAGUUUUAUGUUGAGCGAAAAACAGGAAAGCGGUUCCGUUCCCUUGUCUCCGUUGAGAGAUACUUGAAACAAUCAGGGAACCGUACAGAUCAGCAGCAGGUUGUGCUUUUACAGCAUCACCCUGUCCCUUCCAAAGAUUUCAAUCUACCUGAUGGAUGGAUCGUCGAGGAGAAACCCCGGAGAAAUUCCGGUCGAAUAGACAGGGUAUACACUAUCCUUAUCUCUGUCUUUGUUUGGUUAUCUUUGGUUUUCUUGUUAUAUCUAAACCGUUACGGCUGUUGCUUGCAGUUUUAUACUGAGCCAGGAACAGGGAAGAAGUUCCGUUCUCUGCCUGCUGUUGAGACAUACUUGAACGGUACAGUUGACUCGGUUGAUUCCGGGCAGCUUUCGGUAAGCUUUAACAUCAUUUAGAGGUACUUUGUUGAACCGGUGGUUUGUACCGGUUUGAUGGUGUUUGUAUUUUUUCAGAUUUUGGCGAACCCGGAUGGUAUCGGAUUUGAAAGCGUGGAUAUCGACCCAAACCCACCGGAGAAAGUGAAAUGGGUACUGACAGGUCCAAGUGGAAACAUGUUUAGUGCGCAUGUUAGCGGAUCGGAUGUCUCUAGCUCUGUCCAAAAGACAUGGUCUGAGGCUUUUGUCUCAUUGCUCCAAGAACGGGUUUAACCAAUGUCUGCUUAUUCAUUGAUUGGGCUUUUUUUGUCGGUUUUAUCACUUUGAGGAUUAAAUGUUAAUAAGCUAUCCCGGUCAGUAGUCUCUUCAAGUUGUUUCUAUUUCGGUUUAGUUUAUAACUGGCCUUAAUAACCGGUUUGACCAGCUUUACAAAUUCAUACCCGGUGUGUACCGGGUUUUGGCAAUUCGGGCAUGGAUAGUGUGCAAUAGUGAACCAACAUUUGUCGGUUGACAUUAAAAACCCUUCAAUCAUUAUGCAAAUGAGUUCAUAACUAAAUAUAUUAACAAAACUUAUCAAUAUUGUAGUGUAGAUUUGAUUAUCCGUUUAAUAUACAACGUCUUUAAUUAUAGAUAUAUCGUAUUAGAAUAAGGCUGAUGGAAGCCUGAUCUCUCUAGUCGAUCACGAAAGCUAAAACUAGUAGUGACUGGCUGACUGCUUAAUUGGACAACACACCUUUUCUAAAUGAUAUUAAUCAUCAAUGUGGAAUAACUCUUUUUGACACUGUGAAACACCUUAUUUAAGGUAAAUGAAGAAGAUAUAUGUUGUGAUGGGUUGUGUUUUUUUUUUGUCACUGUGAUGGGUUGUGUUAUUUUUAUUAAAUGCCAAGAUUAAGAUUUAUCCGUUUAAUUACACACGUCAACAAUGAAAAAAAAAUACUUACCUGAUUCAUAAAAAAAUGGACCGAUAAAGUGUAAGUACAAAUAUGAAGGUAGGCUAUCAAAAAAAGAGAUCUAUAAUUCAUUAAAAAUACCUAAAUUGCGAUAAACUCCUCAAUUGUUAUAAAGUUUUGUUACUUGUGUUUUAGUUAAAUCGCUUAGACUUUACGACAAUCUAAUAAUUUCGUUUUAAUUCUUACUCUAGUUUUUAAUUAAUAAAAAAUAUUUUAAGUCCAAACUAAUUAAUUACAACUAUCUUUGGAUAUCCAACAAUGUAUUUAAAUAUUUUGAUGAGAAAAUAAACUAUUGUUACUAAGCACAAGUGACGAUGGCGUGAUUCGUGUAAAUUCCAAAGUAAGGAAUAAUCCAAGGUCGACUUAACGAUGUAUACUAUUGUUUGUUUUAUUCUGUUAGAUCUUUUCAUGUCUUAGCAAAAAAAGAUCUUUUCAUGUCAAGGUGUUUUUUUAUUUUGUAAGAUUCUAAAGACUUCCAGCUAUGUCGACUGUGGUAUCAAAAACUGUUCAAGCUUAUUUAACUUUCUCACUUUAAUAUAAUCUAAACCAAACUAUAUAUAAACUAUUAGCCAACUCGUUAAUGUUAGAUAAUCGUUCAAAAUUUAUAAAGUGGUAUCUUAGAGCAACAUUAUUGGUGGGAUGAAGAGAGAGAGGGAGAGAGUUCCUUGUUAUGUUUUUUUUUUUUGGUCAUUAGAAUGUAAGGGACAGCCCUUAAUUAAGGGCUUUUUCCUUCUCUUUCUUCCUCGGUUCCCACCCCCUUCCCUUAAUGGAUACCUUAAGGGACUCCCAAUAAUGUUGCCCUUAGAGCAACAUUAUCGGGCGGCCCUUGGCCCGUCCCGAACACUAUUUGGGCUAAAAAGAAAAUCAAAAAGAAAAGAUUUUGUUUGGUCCGGGCCUUAAUUAAGGUCCUUUUUGACGCGUCCCGUGAGCAACGUGGCAGCACAGGAGAGGGAGAUGUAAACGAAGUCGAUGAAACCUAUUCCGUGUGUUUCUCCUCUUUUGUCGAAACUGAAGCGAAAUCGAUUCACCGCUGUCGAUCUGAUUCGCCUCAAUCUGCUUCUCCUUGAUCCGUUUCUCUUCGCUCUGUUUCCUCUCCGACAUCGAUUCAGUCCACCUCCGAACAGUUUCCUUUCGACAUCGAUUCAGAGUCGACCCAAACUUGGGAAGGUAUGUGUCUAACCUCCUUUGUAAUUUUGAGAAACCGAGUAGGGGUGUGUAGAUUCAAUGGUUGUUUGUUGUUUGGUUGUUUGUUGAUUAAAUGAUUGAUUUGAUUCGCUCUUCUCGUUCGUUGUUUGAUAUGCUCCGCUCUUGUGAUUGAAGUGGUUGUGAACGGAAUAGAUAUAUAAAAACGUAUUGAUUCAUUGGUUCUUUGAUGCUUGCAAAAACUUUAAGAUUGAAUGGCUGUGAAUGAAAACUCGUAUAGAUUGAUCGAUAAUUCGUAUAGCUUCUAAGCUCGGGUCUUCUGUAUAUAUUAAUAUUCGUAUAGCUUUAUUGAAAAUUCGUAUAGCUUCUCUACCUUUCAAAAUCGGAUAGGUUGAUAGAAUUCUUUGGUCUGUUAUCAGUUAAAAUUUGAAGUAUUUUAAACAACUUAGAAUUAUGGUUUACAUCUCUUCACUCUUUACUCAACUAGAGUGACACCUCCUUAAUUUCACUCUUUACUCUAGUAGACUCACACUUCUUUACGUCUUUACUGAACUAGACAAACUAGUUCUACUGUCGUCGUUACUUGAAACCGUAGAUAGGUUAGUAAUAAGUUCAGAUUAGACAUAUAUGGUUUAUGGUUAGUCUUUAUGUAGAAACUUAAUACUCUUCACCAGCUAAUAUUAAACUCUCAUCUCAAUCCCCUUAAAUAUACACACCUGCCUAAUAAAAAAAAAUUAAUUCACUAAGGGACUUUCAUAAGUCCCACCAAUAAUCUAAUUUCUAAGGGAAAAUCCCUAAAUAUGACCUUAACUCACAAAUAACCUUAAAAUAUUCUAAGGACCAAAAAAUCAAAUCCCACCUAUAAUGUUGCUCUUAUAUUGGACUCUUAGCUAGAAAAGAGAGGCUUUUAAUUUAUUUUGGUCAUUCUGUGUGCAAGUCUCUUCCCAUCUUAAAAAUAAAGUACAUUAACAAAAAUGAAAUAAAUGAGACGACACUAAAACCAUUUGGUAACACUUAGUGCUGUCUGUGUACUAAAACUAAUCUUCCAGUGAUGUUUUAAAUUAGAGGGUGGAUGAAUAAGGGAGUGAUUACGUGAGUUUAUAUGAUUUUACCACUUAAAUGAUUAUAUGAAAUUGUGAUCUGCGUACACUUUUCUUUUUCGGAAUUCAUUUUAUACAAAUUUAUAUAUAAGCUAAUAUAAGAGUGGUGUAACUGUGUAAGUACAAUCACUAUGGGAUCAUUGCUACCGUUUGCUAUUUAAAAGUGUUGCAGAAGAUAAACAUUAUCGUGAAUGUUAAGAUCACCAAUCGUAAUAUAACAAAAUAGUUAUGAAUGAUGUAUCAAACAAAAAAAAUCAGUAAAAAAUAGGAUUGUAGGAGAUAAUUAAUAGACUAAUAUCAUUUCAAUAAAGUAAAUUAAAUAAAAAUGAAAUUUUCGUAUACCAUGAUUAUAAAUUAUUGUUACCAUAUGAUAAGAAAGUAAACUUGUAAUCGAAACACACAAACACACAUAUAUAUAUAUAUUUGUGUAUAUAUAGUGUGAUGACUAUCAAUAAAGUUUUAGUAAUAACAUUUUAUUCAUGGUGAAUUAGUGGAGUUUAAAAGAAAGAUAAUAUUAUGCAUUACGACUAGACAAGCGUCUCAUAAUUAGCGGUGGCAAGGUUUCAGGAUGUCGCUAGAGAGGAAUAAUCUUCUCUCUUUUACUAAUUAAUUAACCAAAAAUGAAUAUUUUGUAUUUUAAUUUUCCUAAAUCACUAGCAUUAUUCUAUUGCUUAUGUAACAUUUUUCCCAUACAUGGAUCAUACAUAAAUCAUGGCGUACGAUAACGUUAAGAGAGAAUGACCUCGUUAACAAGCAGGCAUGCAUGGCGAAUAUUUAUUUACAGAGAGAGUUGAGACGCAUGCAAUGCAACAAAACAAGCUGAAAACAAGUAUACAAAUCAUAGGAUUCUGAAGUUAUGUUAUGAUGAAAGAAACGAAAGAAAGAUAAUGUGGGGCCAAAAGGGUCUUAUCUUAAACUGGUAAGUGCGUAUGCCGUCGCAAGUCACGAGCCAAAGGAAUUGAAGGGGGAAAAUCUUACUUAGUGGACUGGCCAUAGAGGAAGUGGUGGCAUCCACGUAACGCAAGUCUUAUAUCUGUCUGCUUACUUCACUCUAAUCUCUUUAGAAUUUUGGGUCCUCCACUACAAAGACAACUCCCAAAAGAAACAAGGGCCAAUUCUCGAAUUCAACAGUUCUACGCAACUAAAACUCUUAUGAGAAUAUUUAGUUUUAUAAUAUCAUAGAAUAUUAGAUAUAAAACAAUAUUUUAAAUCGGCCGCAUAUGUGUUUAUGCUAUCAAAAUAUACUCAAAAUGCUCUGAUUCUGACCAAAUCGAUCAAACACCGGUAAAUAAAGGUUCAGCUUUUGGCCUAGGUAUUUUACGCAGCCUAUUAACCCGCCUAGGAUUAUGUUUAUAACAUAUAAUAUAGAUAUAGAAAAUAUGUUUAUAAUAAAUAAUAUAUUUUAUAAAAAUAUAAAAAAUAGACUAAAAAUCUGCAAAAAAUUAUAAUCAAGUUGUGCAGAGCGGUCCCCAAACUCCCGAUUAACAUUUUGAGAAAUUUCGAUAUGAUGACCAAACCCAACCAACAAAAGAAUACUAAUAUUUACUUAUUUAAUCUUUUGGCUUCAAUCAUCUACUAAUCAUAUUCUUCCAAAUGUACUAUUAUGUAAUUGUUACUCGAUGACAAUAUCAAGUAGCUUUCCAAUUGUGGUGGUGUGUAGAAUUUUAUAAUCGCUACUGGACAAUGGACAACUCAAGAAUAUGAAAGCAACAGGCAAAAACAUAAUAACCCCGAAUAUGAUAUUUAAAGCAUUACAAGAGUUGCCCAGAAAAGCAUUACAAGCACAACCACAUAAUAUUUAAGGCAAAAAAAAAAACAAAACCUUGAUAAAAAAAAACAAAACCAUGUGAAGAAAACCAUAUAUAGUAACAAUAAUUUUUCUAAAAUUAUAUUAAGGUGUAGGUGGAUAACCAAAUCUUGUUACUCAAUGUUAGGGCUAAUUAAUGGUACCUCUCGACCAUGUUACUUUCGUAAUGACCUAGUUGAUGCAAUUUUUGUGAAUCAGAUUCGAAUAGCUUUUUCAAACUUUAUGGUUGUAAAAUCAUAACUUGUGUGUUUUAUGUCUUUAAAUUUAAAUGCUCUUUUUUCGAAAAUAAAAUAAAAUCCGAAUAGCCAUGUAAUCAGUAUUGAAUUUUCACGGCCGUAAAAAUAAGACCAGACCGGAACUUCGAUGGGGUUGGAUACUUGGAUCCACGAGUUUUCCAUAUAUACCUAAACCGGAACCUUUUCAGUGCUUGGGUAUAUUUUUGCUUCAACGUAUCUUAGUAUAAUUCUCUCAUAUUUCUGUAAGUCAUUUUCAGAGUUUUCUACAGAACAAAACAAUUUGAAGAAUCUCGGCCGGGAACUCUUUACCAAUCAGAGAUAUAUACAGAGAAAAGGAGAAUAUAUAUAUACUCUGUAUUCUCUGCUCCUAUGGACCAGCACACCAGGUACUUACACACAAGUAAGAAACCCUCAUUCCUCUACUUUAAUUUAUGCAUAUAUAGAAGAUGUAAGCCAUAUAAAUUACACACAUGACCAUAUGUGUAAGGUAAAUUGGCUUUCCAAUAAUAAACCACAUAAUAAUUAAUAUAUAUAAGGUUUCCAAGAUUAUGGAGUAAAACUGUAAUAGAUUGAAACUUUUUCAGACAUGAAGACAGAUCACCAAGAGGCAAAUUACAAAGCCAAACCAAAUCAAAUUGGCCUUUCUCAUCUAUAUAACUAUUUAAGUUGGGUGUUUAAAACGAUUUCAAAAUCCUAAAAGCAAUAUCUAAGUAUCUAACUUUCAAUCUCAAGUGCAGCUGCUAUAUACAAAAGGCCACUUAUCAAACACUCGCAACAAUUCGACCCCUUUUGCUAUAUGCCUUUAGAUUUUGUAUCUCCUUUUCUAUUCUUUAUUUGCCUUUUAUAAGCUUCUACAAUGAUAUAUUGAUCAAACUUUAAUAAAGCUAUGGGACAAACUACAACCAUAACCACACCAAAAAUAGUACUACCAAAAUGACUAUAGCCUUCUUUUACUCCCACAAAUCAUACUUCUUCCAUAUUAUUAAAACCCUAUGAUAAAAGGAAACUAAAAAUUUGUCUACUUCUUUAUUUUUAGAUAAUAAGGAUUACAUAGGUUACCUUGUUUCCUCUUCUGGUUUGGUUUGGAAUCUUUUACUGACACGCGAGAGAGAUAAUGCAGUUGAAACUUGAAACUAUUCGGACCUGCCAAAAGAAAAUAUAAGAAAGUGUUCUUAUUGCAACACACAAGAAGACAAACAAAAAAGGAAGAGUUAGUGGGAGUGUUACAUCAGUGUACAUCAAUUUCCUAUUGACGAUCAUUUUCUUUGUUUUUAUCUUUUUUUUGUAUAUAUGCGCUAAUGGCUUGAUGGCAUCAUAAAACAAUAGACCCCACAUUAUCAUCAGCAUAAUCUCUCCCCAUAUGGACGGUAAAGAUAAGAAAAACAAAUCAUUAGAGAAUUUUAAUAACGUGAGUGUUUUAUCGCGUGGUGUAGACACAACAACUUAGUGUUCAAGUUGGCUCUUCUAUAAAUAUUGGUCUUAGAGAUUGCCAAAGGUUCCCAUAAAACAAAACUGAGAAGUAACUUUCUAUUCAGAGAGAAAAAAAGAGUUACUAAGAGUGAGAGAUGAAGAGUGUGCAAGAGGAGUACCGUAAAGGACCGUGGACAGAACAAGAGGACCUUCUCUUGGUCAACUUUGUCCACAUGUUCGGAGAUCGAAGAUGGGAUUUUGUAGCGAAAGUGUCAGGUUUGAAGGUGGAGGGAGAAACAUAAGACUAGGUAUAGGGUUUGAUUUUGAAGAAAAUGGUUGGUCUUUGGAAAGGACCUUCCAUUAAAAGAUAUGACUUGGUUUUGGCUGCAGGUUUGAAUAGAACAGGAAAGAGCUGCAGGUUAAGGUGGGUUAACUACUUACACCCUGGUCUCAAACGUGGUAAGAUGACUCCACAAGAAGAGCAUCUUGUCCUUGAGCUUCACGCCAAAUGGGGAAACAGGUCAGAAGAUAUCUUCAAGAAACAGAGAAACCCUAAAAAUGUAUUUUAAACUUGUAUGAACUUAUUGAAUUGUUCUUCAUACGUAGGUGGUCGAAAAUCGCCAGGAAAUUGCCUGGUAGAACCGAUAAUGAGAUAAAGAAUUACUGGAGGACUCAUAUGAGGAAGAAGGCACAGGAAAAGAAGAAGAGACCUAUGUCUCCAACAUCCUCAUCUUCAAACUGUUGCUCAUCAUCAAUGACCACUGCAGCUACUCAAGACACUGGAGGAACCAAUGGGAAGAUGAAUCAAGAAUGCGAAGAAGACGGAUACUACUCGAUGGAUGACAUAUGGAGAGAGAUUGAUCAAUCUGGAGCAAACAUUAUCAAACCGGUGAAAGACAUCUACUACUCUGAGCAAAGCUGUUAUUUGGACUUCCCUCCUCUGGCUUCUCCAGCAUGGGAAAGCUCCAUGGAGUCUAUCUGGAACAUGGAUGCAGAUGAAAGUAAGAUGUCUUCUUUUGCCAUUGAUCAGUUUCCUCUCAGUUUUGAACAUGGUAGAUCAUCAUCGUGGUCGUCUUUACUCUAGGAUUUGAUUCAUUUGAAUGUCUAUAUAUGCAGCAUAUUUAUAUGUUAUCAAGCAACUGCAGUAGUUUCCCAUGACUUACAUUAAAAAAAACACCUCUCACCGUACUAAUAUCAUGUGUAAUCAUCACCAUCCUAUGCCUUCAUAUAUGUUAGUUUGUAGAAUGAGUAAAAAAAAAAAAUCAUAUCCAUCCCUUCUGCGUAUAGAGAUGUUUUUUUCAUGGAUACCAUGUAUAAUACACGUUAAAACAUAUCCAUCAAUGUAGACUUUUGAAUUUUCUGUGAAUGUUUGUAAUAAUUCAUACUUAGAAAUUAAAUUCUGAUGAGAGAAAUGCGAGGACCCAUUAUUAAAACCAUCUAGAGUGAAGGAAGUAAAAUGGAAUAAGAAAGUAACAACGUGACUUAACAAGGCAUAUUCAUCGGCUAAAUAAUCAAGAAAAUAGGUUUGACUUGUAAAGCUCAAGCCAGCUUUGUGAAAAGAAUGUGUUCUUCUGCUUAAUCAUCUUAUUGGUAAAAUUAGUAUGUUUUUUUCAUUUAUUUCUGUUUAAGAAAUUUCUCCAUGAUGGAAAAGAUCAGUUCCCACUCUUUUAAUCAAUCUUUACGGUAAGAUAUCAUUUUUAUAUCUUUAUUAUAUGUACCACUAAGAGACUAGAGCUUCAACUUUUCCUUGAAAAAAUGUUUUAAAUUUCAGUGAAAAAGAAAAACAAAAAAGGAAGAAAAGGAUGGCUGCUUAAAAGUAUGCAAGCAACCAAUUUAUCAAUUUUAAAACAAACAAAAAGUGGAGAAGGGAGCUUAAUUGAUAGUCAGCAGUAGCACAAAUAAACAAAUGAAGUAAUGACCAAAGAUGCAAUGACUGGCUGAUUCUCACCAAACAAUUUUUCUGAAUCUUUUAAUAGGAAUAUAAUAACUUGAAAAAACAAUUAGAGCAUAGGUAUAUCUUUCAUAAUUUGAUUUUACCUGCUUACCUUCCUCCAGAGACUAAUAUUUUCAAGUAUCACACAACAAAUCCAUUGAUAAAUUUCAUAAGCAAAAACACCCAAUAAGAUUAUCCUCUUUCCACCCAAACUUAUUGGAAGAGUGUAAAAAAAGGUAGUGGAUAAGAAUCUUCAAAUCACAAGGAAAAUAUCAAACUUAUCAUUAAUUAGUGCAACAAUCCCACUUCUAAGAAACGAAAAGAGCCUACGAACUAGCAACAAGAAGGGCUAAUUUGAGACUAACAACUAGGGGUAAGUUGCAAAUCAUAUAAACUAAUUCAAUCAUGUUUCUUAUCUUUCAAUGUGUCCCCAAAACGCUGUUUCUCCAAUGUAGACAUCAACUACAUACUGUUACGAGAAGAUAAUAUAAUGCGCUGUGAGUCUGUGACUAAACUAGGGGAUGACUGUCAACAACUGAACUAUUGAGAUAUCUGAAUGGAAUGGUUUUCUCAUGUAUAUCUGAAUAAGAGGAAACCUGACACGGUCAAACAAAAAGCUGGUUCCUGUAAAUGGCAUUGUAUUUUGUGCAAGUACACAUUAGUCUUAACGGAAUCGGAAUACCAUAAGCGAUAACUUUGUUCUAAUGAUCAUACUCUAGUCUCAACGGAAAAGGAGUACCGGAACUCAGAAUAGAUAAGCAAUAACUUUGUUCUAAUGAUCAUUUUCGCUUAAGAAACACCAACCAAACCUCUCGACUAUGUAUUAAGAGCCAAUAUUUACCACUGAGAAGACAAAGCAUGAACCCAUACGACUGAAUGUUACCACAAUCUAUAUGGUAGUUCUCGAAUUCAAAGCAAAUAUAAUGAUCCUCUCCAAGCAAAAUUAGAUUUCAAAACGUCCAGCUUACUCAGAUCAAAGAAGAAAUAUGAUAUUGUUUGACUUAGUAGUAAGGUGAAAAACCUAAGAAAUGGUAACAAGUAUACUCGCAACUGGAAUGAAACAAAAUAGUUGAUUGGUAUCUAAAUUCAAACAGUAAACCGAGCCGGAUUAGAAUUGAAAUAAAUCAAAAUUUAAACAUAUUGUUGUUGAGUCCACUCGAAAGCGGAACCCUCCAAAAAUAGGUGGCCCUCCAAAAGUAACAAGAGGUUAACAAAUUAACUCAAAACUAAAAAGAUAUCUUUUUGUAUGAAAAUAAAAAUUGACGCGCUUAACCGCUGCUUCUCGUCUCCUUCGCGUUGUUUACUUGUACCAAGAAUGUAAUAAAAACAAAAUAACCGAGUGGUUUUCUUCUCUCCUCUGAUGCAACAGAUUGGAAGAAUCCACUUCAUUUUGGCUACUGUUGGACCAGAUCAUUGAGGUUUUAUGUGAUUUUUACUCUGUACUCUGUAGAGCAUUUUCCUUGUAAGCUGAAAAGGAAGUUUCAGCAAAGCUGGCAGUGUGAUUCUACGUUCACGUUCAUCUUUUCAGGUCCAGGAUUCGCAAUGGCUUUCAAUAACAGUUGUAGCUUGGUGUAUUGGCGAGGUGAGUUUGAUUGAUCUUCAGAUAUUUAUUAAUCUUCAGAGAAGUACUCCCAAUGACAAGUGUUUGUGACAGUUGAAAAAAAACUUGUUAGCUCGUGAUUAGAGUAGAUUGUGAGAGAUAGUUUCUUUAGCAGAAUUGUGCACUGUCUAGAUGAAACAGUGAUGUUUACUCUUGUCUUAGCUGAGUGCUGAUGAUCAGAUAUUCAGAUAUCCUCGAGAUGAUUUAACUUGCCCCGGUAGGGGUCCCUAUUGGCUAACCUGUCUCAGGUGAUACAUCAUAGUGUACACAUUUUGCUUUUAGAUGUGAUGGCUUAAUAUGCUAUUACCCUAUCAAAGAAAAAAAAUCAAGUUGUAAGGAUAGUUCGAUAUUUUAUGCCAUCCAGGUACACAUGAUUUUCACAUCAUGAGAAGAAAAUAUAAUGCCUUGUGUUUGUGCUCUACUAAUGGAUUAUCGACAUCUGAUUGGAAUUGGAGAAAUAAAUUGACUUUAGUACAUCAUCAAUCUAUUCAAUUGACUUUUAGUACUAAAAUAAUCACUAGUAGAUGGAAUGAAAUAAAUUGAAAUUGAUGGUUCUCUUAACAAAAUCAUCAAACCAGAGUCGGUUUAGAGUCAAGGACACAAUCAACCAAAUAUUCAACUAUAUGUUGUUGGGCCCACACGAAAGCGGGACCCUCCAAAAAUAGGCGUAUGCCACUUAGCAUGGAGAGCACACGGUAUUCUUUAGUAAAAGGCGAAAGAAUAGUUCGCUUUGUGCUCACCACAUGGCUGCGUGAUUUGUGAACUGAGAAGGAGAUCUUUAUUUAUAGUGCAACUUCUGCUACUUAUUUCUCUUUGUUACCCGAUGUGGGACUCUAAACGAAAGGAGCAUCACAAGGGCGCUGCUGAUUUAAUAAUAUUCUACGCGGGCCUUUAUGGGCCUAAAACAAGUAUGGGCUUUAAAUACAAACUGUAAUCUUUCUUCCUUUAAGCCCACUUGCAAACCUUAACUGAUGUUCUCAUAUAUGGUAGUGGAGCCAUAGACCAAACUUUUUGAUCAAGAAUGGCUGGAAUGAACAAAGACCAGACAUAAACCAACCAGCCAGUAUAUUAGAUCCACCGAAGCUUCACAGUGACCGGCUCUUUACAAGGAUCUAAUAGAAACGACCACGAGUUUAGGACUAGGACUCAAACAUCAUCCUUCGUAUUAUUAUUUUUGGGUCAAAGAUCAUCGUACAGUACUUCGUGAGAAGCAUUUCUUCUCAGGGGCCACAUUUUAUUUAAAAACUUUACGACUGACUAAUCCUCUUGUUCCUUUGGAAGGUUAUCGUUGACCAUUUUGACUCGUUAUUUAAAACAUGCGUAUUAUCGAGUGCUGACGUGGCGGAUCCUUACAGAACCCCAGAGAAGGGAACACAACUUUUAGAAAAAAGGAAAAAGAGAAGAGAGGACGGUGGAGCUAAAUCGGAUCGCGUCGGAGAGUCGCCGGAAAUUUUAAUAUUUUCCAAUUUAAUCAGAUCGGCCGUUGUAUUGUAUCCGUUCGUCGUGUAAGUUUCAAAUCUCUGAGCUUCAAAGGUGGUAGUUUCAUCAUACGCUUACAUUUACGAAUCUGAGCUUUUGUAUCAUGUGAUUCGUUUUGGGUAGUUAGUGAGAGAGAGACGGUGGAUGGGCCAUGGCUGAGACGGAAACAGUAAACGGAGUGAAGGAGAGCAAAUUAUGGAAAGGUGUAUUCGCUGUCUCCGGCAUUAUGUCUACUCUUGUCAUCUACGGUGUUCUUCAGGUCUGUCUCCUUUGUUAUGAUUCAUACCGGUUGAGUUAUAUGGUUAAAGGUUGUAACUUUCUUGAUGGGUUUUGUAAAUUUGUUAGGAGAAGAUAAUGAGAGUUCCUUAUGGAUUGAACAAAGAGUUCUUUAAGUACUCUCUGUUUCUUGUUUUCUGCAAUCGCCUCACUACUUCAGCUGUCUCUGCUGGUGCUUUACUGGUAAUUACCGGCAGAAACCCAACUUGUUUUUGUACUUACCAGAGUUUGAAGAACCUUAUUUGGUUUUUUAUUUUGUAGGCAAGCAAGAAAGUUUUGGAUCCUGUAGCUCCGGUUUACAAGUAUUGCCUUAUCUCAGUGACUAACAUAUUAACUACAACAUGUCAGUAUGAGGUAAGGCUUUUAUCCUUUCACCUCCACUGACUCUUGAUGUGUGAACUUAGUAUAUUCACUCCGUAAUGUCUCCAGGCUCUCAAGUAUGUGAGCUUCCCUGUCCAAACUCUUGCAAAAUGUGCCAAAAUGAUACCAGUAAUGGUAAAGCUCUAACAUUCAUUGUUUUUCAGCAAAGUGUAUUUGAGUUUUAGCAACACACCCAUUCUUAUAUCUGUGUGCUCUGUAUAGGUAUGGGGAACUCUCAUCAUGCAGAAAAAGUACAAGGGGUUUGACUAUUUUGUGGCUUUUUUGGUGACCCUUGGCUGUUCUGUCUUUAUUCUUUUCCCGGUAAAGGCUUCGGUUAUUUAAAAGUACAUCAGUCACUAUGAACAUCAACAGAAGAUGUAUGUACUGAGGUUUUGUUUAUGUAAAUCUGAGCUGUAGGCAGGAGAUGAUAUCAGUCCGUACAAUAAGGGAAGGGAGAAUACUGUUUGGGGUGUUUCCCUAAUGGCUGGUUAUCUUGGGUAUGUGUUUCAUUGUCACUCGUUACACUGUCUAUGUUAUUAGUCUUGGAUCAUGAUUGUGUAUUUGGUAAUUUGGCUAACUAACAGGUUUGAUGGGUUUACAAGCACAUUUCAAGACAAACUGUUCAAAGGAUAUAAUAUGGAGAUACAUAACCAAAUAUUCUACACAACACUUUGUUCUUGUGUUCUCAGUUUCACUGGUGAGACUCUUACCUGUUGCUUUUCUGUCACUGUAUUUUUUUUCUGGACACUAGACCAUUGAUUAUUUUUCCUUAGUGGUUGGUCGUUUUCCGGCAAGAAGAUUUUAUAGAAAGUAGACUUUAGCAUAAAGCUCUGGUCUAAUUCAUGCUCUUUUUGCUUGUCAUUCUCAAAUCUUAUGUUUUUUGUAGGACUUGUAUUGCAAGGCCAUUUGCUACUAGCUGUAGAUUUUGUUUCUCGCCAUAGAGAUUGUCUACUCGACAUCGCUCUGCUUUCCACUGUAAGUUUCAGUUUCCUCUCUUCUUCUGUUCAAACUAUUACACAGUAUCAUGUAGUCGUCUAGCUACACAAGAUGACAAAACUGAAUCUAGUUAGUAAUCCAAACAAACCCAUGAUUCUAUUAUCCGAAACAAGCUAUUGAGAUUAUCAUGAUCUUCCUUCCUCUCUUAUCUUUCUGAUUCCCACUGAACUUACCGGAGACUAAUGAGCAGGUUGCAACAGCGAGCCAGUUCUUCAUUUCUUACACCAUUAGGACAUUUGGUGCUCUAACGUUCGCUGCUAUCAUGACAACAAGACAGGUAAAUAAACAAACUUAGAUCCGACUAAUCCAUCUCAAUUGCUAACACAAUCCGUCUAUCUUAAUAAAGCUUGCAAGCAUCAUGCUCUCAUGCAUUUGGUUCUCUCAUCCGCUUAGCUGGGAGCAAUGUAUUGGAUCGGUACAUCUUUCACUCUUUUACAUUUAAACUAGAACUUAGGCUCUCCAAUUACUAUAGGUUAUACAUUUGAUUCUUUGACUAACAAAGUUCAUUCAAUGAUCAGGUCAUUGUUUUCGGGUCUUUAUACGCCAAAAACUUACUGAACAACAACAAAAAAUCACAAACUCAACCGCCGCCACCUCCAGAGCUUCCGCAGUAUGGAAAACCUGAGAGCUCUUCUUAAGAACCCUUCACAACCAGUUAGAAGUUUUCUUUUCUUUUUCUCGUCUUGAUUUAACCCUGAAGACAAAAACAAGUUGAUAGUGAACUGAAAUUAGUAUUCAUAUAGUCAGACCCUAUGUAUUUUUUUCAUCUUUUUAAUUAUUUAAGUUUGUUGGUUCUCUUGUAGUAUGCUAUAUAUACAUGUGUUUCGAUGACAUCUGAUGUAGCCACUUAGACAUCGGACUGAUUUUCCCAACGGCCAGACCUUUAUGACACUCUCUUAUCUUCUUUCUUUCUUCUAAAAUUACAUCAUUAUUUUGUAACUAACAAAAUAUGUUUGGUCAGCAGAAGAAUGAUUCAAUGGAGAUCUAGUAAGUAGUAAACGCCUAAACGUGAUAAUGUCUUCUCUUACAAGUUUUAAAUGCUGAUGGCGCCGUGGAGUAUCCGUCAAUACAUAUUACGUGGACUCUUCUUAAUUUUCACACUCACUUGAAUACUUCAAACGAAGAGAUAGUCGUUAAGAGAAGUUAUUUAACAAUUUUGUUGUAGAGGCCUAGAGGGUAAUCGGCGAUAUGCUUAGCUGGUUAACUGUGCGCAUUGGAAUAUGGUAUUAUUAUCUGAGAUAACCAUAACCGAAAAUGAAGCAAAAACAUGGACUAAAAUAGAGAGACCAAAGACGUUUCCUUGGUGAAUUAAAUAUUCGUAAACAUGACUGACGCCGAAACAAAUAGUCCAAAAUUCACACCUUGAAAUAAGGGGUUUUUGCCAAAACUAACCCACAACUUGAUUUUAAUUCCAAACCUAUACCCAAACUUGAAUCAAAUGCAAAACUAACCUAAAAGCCUAGUGAAAUUACAGCUCAGCCCCUUGUGACCAAACAAAAAAACAGAAGCCAUUUUUACGAAUAUAGCCCCAGUAAAUCGUCUGAGUCGUCUGAGAUGUUGGAAGUCGUCUGGACGACUGAAGUGUAAGUCGUCUGGACGACUGAAGUGUAAGUCGUCUGGACGACUGAAGUGUAAGUCGUCUGGUACCAGUUUAUUUUAAAAAUAAUUUAUAAAUCUUGUAAAAAAAUAUUUAGAUGCGUAAAAAAUAAAAAUCAAGUAAUUAUAAACAGUUUUAACUGAUAUAAAUUAAGAUAUGAUAAAAUUGAUUUGUUUUGAAGAUAUAUGAGUGGAAGUAGUGAAUCAUGAAAUACUUUGGUUUAGGAGUUUGGCAAACAUAUGUUGUAGUAUUGUAUGUAUUGUUAGGGUUAGAUUUUGGAAAACUAAAAUGUUUUUUUCAAAAAUUAGUUUUCACCUAUAUGUGUUUAUUUCUGUGUAUAGUAAACACUUUUCAAGUUUGAUUUGGUUUUAUGAAGUGUUUAAUUAGAUAAUUAAGUUUAGGGGUUAUGUUUAGGGUGUGGACGACUUAUAUUUCAGUCGUCUGUUAAAUAAUUUACCCGGACGACGUAUAUUUCAGUCGUCCAGACGACUUACUUGUAAGUCGUCUGGAAAGUCUUCUAUUUUAGUUUCCCGCUAAAAAUAUUUAAUUUCCCGCUAAAAAUAUUAAACUCUUCUGGACGACUUACAUGUAAGUCGUCUGUUUUAAUUUCUUCACCAGACGACUGAAAUGUAAGUCGUCCAGGAAGUCGUCUGAGUCAAAAAUAUUUAAUCUAAUUGGAUUUUUUGUCUCCCUAUAUAAAGAAAAAUUUACACAUUCUCUCUCCUCCUCUCAAAUGGCUGCAACAAAAAUGUAAUGUAACUAGUCAAAGCAUAUCAUAUUUUUUAUAAGUUUGCAUUGAAAAACUUAGUCAAAUUUAGUAAAACUAAGGGAGAGAACAUAUUUUGUAAAUAUGAGUUUUACAUAUCUUGAAGUUACUUAUCACUCUUAAAAAUACAAGUUAUUCAUAAACUAACGUAGAAGACUUAAAAACUAGUGGAGAAGACGCGGACGACUUCAAUCUAAGUUGUCUAGACGACUAAACUAUAUGUCGUCUGGUCAACGCAGAGGUUAUUUUUGCAAUUGACUUUGAAAUCUGUUAUUUCGGACGACUGAAAGUUAAGUCGUCUACUAUUGUUUGGUUAAAAAAAAAACUCCAAAAAAGCUAGACGACUUACAUUUCAGUCGUCAGAGGUUAGUUUUGCAUUUGACUGGAUUAUUUCAGAAGUUUGACUUUUUGGACGACUUACGUUUCAGUCGUCUAGUGAAAAUUAAAAUAAUAAUAUUUUUUAAAAGUAGACGACUUAAAGUUAAGUCGUCAUAGGUUAGUUUUGCAAUUGAAAAAAAAAACUUCAAGAUUUAAUUAUAUACAGACGACUUAUAAUUCAGUCGUCCACGAGACGACUGAAAUGUAAGUCGUCCAGGAUUUACGAGGUUUGACCAGAAUCUCGGAAAAAAAUCCUGGACGACUUACAAUUAAGUCGUCUGGUGGACGACUGAAUUAUAAGUCGUCUGUGUAUAAUUAAAUCUUGAAGUUUUUUUUUCAAUUGCAAAACUAACCUAUGACUACUUAAUUGUAAGUCGUUUACUUUAAAAAAAAUAUUAUUUUUUUAAUUUUCGCCAGACGACUGAAAUGUAAGUCGUCUGGGGAAGUCAAACUUCUGAAAUUAUCCAGUCAAAUACAAAACUAACCUAUGACGACUGAAAUGUAAGUCGUCUAGGUUCUUUGGAAUUUUUUUUGAAACCAAACAAUAGUAGACGACUUAACUUUCAGUCGUCUCAGGUUACAGAUUUCAAAGUCAAUUGCAAAAAUAACCUCUGCGUUGACCAGACGACUUCCAGGUAAGUCGUCUACAGCCAGACGACUGAAAGGUAAGUCGUCUACAGCCAGACGACUUCCCAAGUAAGUCGUCUGACGAACAGAUCUGGAAAAAAACUCGAUGUCAUACCUUAAAUUAGUGAGAUAAGUUCCUUAGCAUACAUAAGGCUUCUCCAAGCACACAGAAUCACAAACGGAAGUCACCCACCCAUAAUCGUUAGCUUCUAUGACUCUAUGAACCAUAAAAAUUUUAGAAUCAAAAUCUUGAGUUUUUUUAGCUCAUUGUGGAGAGAAAGUGAGAGAUAUGUUGUGUUUAGGUCACAAGAAUGGAAAAAGAAGAAGGGUAAAUCGAUUUUAGGAGCAUUAAGAGCUUCAAAUUGGUUGUUCAUGGUGGUUGUGGUAUUGAUGACAAUGGCAAUCUUGUAAUUACUUGAAGAUGAUGAGGGUGAGAGAGUAAAAAUGUCAUUUUCGAAAAAAAAAAUAAAAUAAAAAUGGAUGGCAUUUUCGUAAAUUAUAUGAACUUGUGGGGUGAAUAGGGCAAAACCAAUUUUCAAAAAAAAAAGAGGUUAGUUUUGUGUUUGACUUUAAGUUAUAGGUCAAUUUUGCAAAAAUCCCUUGAAAUAAAGUAUAUAUUCCAAAAUAAUUCAUAUCUCAUCACAUAUUCCGUAGACAUAAAUUCAUUUUCACGUGAACAAACUUUCAGUUUUGGUCUUCAAAUAUUUAACCAAAAAACGAAUGUCUUCAAAUAUACGAGUAAUAUUUCUUUGAACCAAGUUUUUCAAUACCAUUAACAUUCAAGGAAAGUUUCUAGAAGCAAUGUUUUGUGUGAUACGUAGUUUCAUUCAACUCACUAUUGCUAAAUCAAAGUCAAACGGUGCGUAUAUAAUACCUACAGUACAGGCUAUAUGUAUGCGUCAUUCUUAUACAUGUGAGAUGUGUGCAUACGUAAUUCAAAACUGUUAAUGUAUAAGUAGUGGGAGUACUAUAUAGCUAAGAUAUACACGUACACGGGACUUUCCUUAAUUAAUAUUAUAUAUGUUGUCACGGAUAAAGUGAGAAUAUUAUCUUCAAAAGUAUGUAGAGAAAAACAAUAACAGUCGGGUUAUAUAUAGUAAAUGGCUCUUAGGUGAAUGACCAUGAAACAAGUGAUUUGGGGUAGCUUGUUAGGAUCCAUAUAUCAAGUUCUUUGUUCCACAAUACCGAUUCAAUUCAGUCCAGAUUAAGACAAGCACACAAGAUCCACACACAACAUUUAUAACCAAUAUAUACGAUUAUGCGGCUAGAUUCAGAUCGAUACCAGUUCAAUAUGUUAAACUCUAUGAUCGGAUCAGACUUUCUCAGCUUUUUUGGUUUUAGUGUGAAUAGUGUAAGUGAGAAAAUCUACAAAGAAAAAAAAAAUAGAUUGGAAUUGGUACAACUUACAAGACUAAAACCUUACAACAAGAGAUCAAUCUUUGAUAAAAAAAAAGUAACAGAGACAGCAUCUCAGAAAUCAUGAAUAACGAUUAUAAGAUCAAUUAUUUCUGCUAAUGAACUAAUGAUUAAUUAGUCAUUAGAUAAUAUUUUAUUUAACAACAAGUAGUCUUUGGUGGACUAUCCAUAAGUUCAACAGGUUAUUUCGAUAGACCCGUAAUCAAACGGUCAAACUUCGUAAGGUCAACACCUCAUUGUUGUAUCAUUCGGACAAAGACAAAACCAAGUGCUCAAGAGAGUCGGCUCUUGAAUCUUGUCUAAUGCUUCUCCAAAUCACUAUUAGGGGCCAUGGAGAUUGAGGACCAUGCGAAUUUUUUUUUUUUGUAAUGCAUGGGAGCUUUAGCUUUUAUCCCUCGACUGUAAGUUCCACCCGACUCACGUGCUACUUUUUGAAUCAUCUUUUGAUUAUCUCUCUUUUCCAUUGUCUUUUAAUUUCCUGUUUUUAAAAAUUAUUUUACUGGUCCACGAAAAAAACAAGUAAUAGUAUCUUUAACUUAAGUGGUAACUAACUUAAAAAACCAAUAAUAUAAAUAUUCUUCAAGCAUAUAAUUACAUGUUUACAUCACGUUGAAUUUUGUUACUUCAGUUUCAUUCAACCGCCGGUUGAUUUAUUUUUGUUAGUUAAUGGAUUGUCGGUUGAUUUGUACAAUCAUUCAUAUAAUUAGGUGUUGUAACUAACUUAAAGAACCAAUUAUAUAAAUAUUCUUCAAGCAUAUAUCUACAUGUUAACAUCACGUUAAGUGAGGGAAAAAACAUCACGUUAAGUUUUGUAACUUGCGUUUCAUUCGAUGAAUGUAAGUUGGUUUUUAGUUAACGGAUUGUCGGUUGAUUCGUACUGCCAUUUAUAUAUUUUUGUACGAAUUACUUAGAUCUGGGUACAUAUUAAAAAAUAAUUUCUGGAUGUUUAAACAAAUAGGAUAUGACUAGUCGGGAAAUUACAGUGGAAAAACGUAUACUUUUGCAUAUAUAUUAUUAUUGUUAAAUUUUUAUAGUUUAAUUAUCAAAGGAAAUUUGUACUUCUAAGGUUUUGUGUAAAGUUCAAAAGAAAAUGGUUUUAUGUGUAUAUAUGGAUAUUUUUAAUCUAGUAAAACCAUAUAAAAAAUUUAAUAUUUGAUUAAUUAUAUUCGUUGAUGGAAUUUUAAAUUUUAAAUGGUCUUAGUUUGGAUGGAAAGUUUUGUCUCUACCGGCCUCUGUAUUAAGCAUGUUUAAUUAAGAGAUGGACCAUAAACUAUGGACCAAGUAGUAGUUUAGCAUCUUUGAACAACUAUUGAAACUGUGGAUUACAUUUAUUUGGUGGCACGACGCAAAUUGACAUUCAACUUUUAAAGCAUGGAACCUUCCUCACAAUCUUCGUUUCCCAAAAUAGUAAAUAAAUCAGCCAACUAACACAGUAUUUUCCCAGUUAAAAAAAAACCCACACACUAUUUUAUUGAUUAGCAGAAACCUAAUUAACAGUUGCAUUUUAUUUUCAAAUAUAAUUGUAUUUUUCAUUUAAACAAUAAAAUACAUAUAAAAAUAAGGGUGAAUUAGCCAAAUGACCAAAUUUGAAAAGGAAAUUAAGUGGAUAGCAUUGAUUUUGACAUAAUAAAGCUCAUAACAAUUAUGUGAACUUCUAUCCGGUAAUACUUUUUUUUGUUCAAGUUGCCAGUAAUAGAGAGAGAAACUGAUGACAUCAACAAUUUGACACCCCAUAAUUAAUUAUCACACGUAAUUCAAUCAACACUACACUUUUUUUUAACACAUAAAUAUACAUCUAAUUUUUCUAUACCAUAUUACUAAAAAUAAUAGUAUUCAAAAUCCACUCACACCUAGUAAAUACUAAACUUUAAUCCAAACCUCAACUCCAAAAUAAUAAACCCUAAACUUUAAACAUCACCAAUCCAUCUAAAUACUAAAUCCUAAAUUCUAAUUACUGAACCCUAAACCCAAAUAUAAAUCUUAAACCCAAUUAUCAAAAUCUGAAAAUAGUAUAUAAUAUUAUGUAAUAUUAAACUAAAUCCAAACAAAACUCCUCAAUGCUAAACUCAGACCUAACUUUUGAAUACUAAACCCAAAAAUGCUAUCACUAAACCCAAACCUAAACUCCCACCUUCCAAAUACUAAACCCUAAAUCCUAAUCACUAAACCCUAAACCCAAGUAUAGACUAUAAACCCAAAUAGAAUGGAACAAAAUACAUAGUGUAGUAUAAAUUGGUAAGCAAAAAAAACACUAUUUUUUAAUCGUCAAAUAGAACAUACAUAAUACGGUCACUAAACCCAAACAUCAACCCCCACCUUCCAAAUACUAAACCCUAAAUCUUAAUCAUUAAACCUAAAUCCAAGUAUAAACUCUAAACCUAAAUAGUAUAGAACAAAAUAAAUAGUAUAGUACAUAUAGUUGUAAACAAGAAAUUGAUAAAUAAUGAAUUUAUCAAACAAUCGAUGGUACAAUAAUACAACAACCAUAGCAUGCUAUUUAGUUUGGUACUUGCGAAUUGUACAAAAACAUAAGAAUCGUACUAUACUAUAAUUUUCUUUCACUACAUAUAGUAUAGUCGACGAGUUCAUCUUCUUCACAUCUUCCUCUUUUUACAGACAUGGUGAUACACACAUUCACUAGUCCAGAGUAAUUAUUCUUCAUCAUACCAUAUCAAUACAGCAUACUAUAACAAUUUAAAUAACAAUGAAAAAAAUCAAGAUGAACAACAUUGAAAAAACUAAAAAAAAAAAAGAAAUUGUGAUGUCACCUCAUUGUUGUCUACGGUGUCAUCUUCUCCUCUAAACUCAAUUCCACAAGCCCAAAAUCCAUAUUAUUUCUUAGUCUAAUGGUUUGUGUUCGUAUGUAUAAAAAAACAGAGAUUGGAGGAGAAGAGGAAGAAGAAGAGAAAGAGAUGUGGAACAAUGAUAACCACAAUUUAUUAAAUUAUUUAUUUAAUAUUUUUUUUGAUAAAUAACUCUCAGCAGGUCACACAUGUUGAAUUCAAGGGUAAUAUUAGGGGUCGGCGUUCGGGUACCCGUUCGGGUUCGGAUCGGGUAUUUCGGAUUUUCGGGUAUUUCGGUAUAGAGGUGUAGAACCCGUUCGGGUAUUUCUGUACUUCGGGUCGGGUUCGGGUAUUUUUAGUUCGGUUUCGGUUAUUUCGGAUCGGGUUCGGAUAUUUAGAUUUUGAAAAAAAAAUUAAAAUAUUCAUUUUUCAAAUUUCUUGUAUUUAAAUAUAUAACUUUCACUUAACUAUUUUUUGUAUUUUUAAUAGAUUGAAUGGUUAAUAGAUUUGGAUAUAACAUUUUCAAACUAAAAAGACAUUAAUUUGGUUAUUGUUUUUAAAUUUUGGAUGUAACUUUUUGUUAAUUGUUGAAAUAAAAAGUUUGACAUGUAUUUUAAGUGCAUAACAAAUCAUCUUCUACGUAAUUGUAUGUAUAUCAUAUGAAUUUAAAGUAUGUGUAGUAUCAAUAUAAAUAUUUUAUAUAAAAUGAAAGAUGUAAAUUAAAAAUUUAAGGUUAAUUAUACAUAUGUUCGGUUAUCUUCGGAUAUCCAUUCGGGUUCGGAUAUUACCCGUUCGGGUUCGGAUAUCCAAUCUCUCCUAAUUUAAUAUCCGUUCGGAUAUUUUGCUACUUCGGUUCGGAUUUCGGUUCGGGUUUUUCGGAUCGGGUUCGGAUGCCACUUCGGAUUUCGGGUAAAGUGCCCACCCCUAGGUAAUAUAGCAUUAUUACAUAAAAUACAUGUACUGUAGAUGAAAGUUAGGGGUUUUAGUUAUGUAGUGAAUUAUAAUUUGUUUGAAGGUUAUACAGCAUAAUUUCCCUAAAAAUAAACUGUCCAAAUAUAGCUGCCAGAUGUGGAAACUAAAAUCAAUACUAUUAAAUUAGGAUCAUGACCCAUUGAUAUAUGUUGUGUCCAAUUAUUUAAUUCUUUGAUUUAAAGAACCACUUAUUAUAUAAACUGCCAUUUAUAACUAACAAUUAAUAAUAUUGAGUUUUGUAACUUCCUUCCUCUUUGGUUCCAAUAUUCUCGCAACCCACUCCUAUCUAAUACAUAAAAAUAAUAAUACUCGACGAUUACAUAAUGGAUUUGAGUGUGUGAUAAUAAAAUACUACUAUAUAUGGUCGACUAAUAUUUACAUAACAAACACUAAUUAAUCAAAUUCUUAACGUUUAAUGCGGCAAUAUACUAAACCAAAAAGAUAUUUAAAUCCAGUUCACACACUGGGUUUUAAGGGUAACCGUUUCAAUAUACUAAACCAAAAAAAAUGAAAUAGAAAUUUAUAAUAGGCUAUUAAUAACAAAUAAAUUAAUAUUGUUAUUUACUAUUUAUUUAAUAUAAAAUUUUGAAGUUUUGUCAGAUCAACCAGUAUCAGAUUGCGGGUCGGUAACAUGUUUUUAGUUUUUUUUUCUUUUCUGAUUUUAUCUUAUUAGUCCAAUAAUUUUUUCCCACGUGGCGUACUUAAAAAGUAACGAGAUAUAUUCUAACAAUAUAAACAAUUAUCUUUCUUCAUGCAAAUCAAUUCACAUAAGGAGUUACCUCUUCUUUUAAAGGAUACCUAUAUGACAAAAAAUCUAGAAUUCAAAUAUACUUUUGUAUUUAUUUUGUUAUUCAUAUUUGUUACCUAAUAAUAGUUCACAAGUUCAUAGCUACGCAACAUCACAAAUUCAUUACAAUUAUCAAAAUCUCUUACUAAUAAUGAAAAAAAUUACAAAACUAUAAUUAUACAGAAAAACACAAAUAUGACUUAAAAACACAAAUAUGACUUGAAAGGGCGGAUCAGAAUCUAGUUAACAAUUGAAAUUUUAAAAUGAACAAGGUAAGUUUUAGAGAAAUAGUGAAAAGAUCUGUGUAAAUAGAUUUUAAAAGUAAUUUGUUUGAAUUUUACUAAUAUUAUUGACAAUAAAUGUGUUGAAUACAAAGAAUAUAACAAGAUAGUACAAGUCGAAAAAAAUAUUUGUAUUUUCAAAUGAGUUAGUCAAAAAGUGUAUGAAAUGAUGAUUUUGUAUUGUCUUUUUUUUUUUGAUUAAUCUGGGAAUAUCCAGGUUCACGGAGAAAUCCAGACUAAUCCCCAAAAAGAAGUGCAUUAGGUGGAUCAAAUCUGAAACCUCUUAGCGUCCCAACCCCGCCUCUUUACCACUUUACCAUAAUCACCCGGUAAUGUAUUUGUCUUUUAUACUACCAAGCUCGCUCCAACUACUUCGCCUAUCUAGUACGCAUGUGUCGUGUUUUAUUUCGGAGAUCUCGGCAUGUUGCAUAACCGUUUAACCGCAAGAUAACUAAGUCUUGGUUAUUAUCCGUUAAACUCAUACGCAAAUAACCAUUUGAAUCGAAAUAGUUGGGCUUCGUCGUUGAUCAUGCGAUUAUUAUCAAUUUAUCCUGUUUCCAUUAGAUAUUUACCGAACCAGAUUUAUUUUUUAAAUCAUGUUCCAACAACUAACCCAUUUACAAAAGCCAAUGAUUUUUGAGAUAAGAAUACUAGUAUAUAUAGUACUGCAAGUCUGCAAGUUUGACAAUUUGUUGACAUUCAAUAUUGACACCGUUGGUGUAUAAAGUUCUUAACAUUCUUAUUACGAAUCCAUUAUUUGUAACAAUUUUGGUGCAUUCAGUUACAGUAAUCGUACAAAACAGUACUCGCUAUAUUAUUAGUUGACGUCAAUUAUAACUUAUACUCUCCAAUAUUAACUAGCACUUAUAAUUGUAACGGUAAAUUUACAAAAAUUCACAGGCAGCAGUCUGCAGAUCAAAGGCAAUGAAUGUAACUUUGGUCAGAAUAGACUAAACUAACUCCUCGCUUUGACUUUAUCAAAUGUCAUGUCGUAUCUGUUGCCGCGUUUGACUAGUGAACACUUUCCCUCCUCAUAUCUAUACGUACAUAUAUACAUCCGCCAACCUUUCAUUGCACAUCUACAUAAUAAUACUAUAUUUCUAUAUAUAUACCAUCCUCCUAUCGUAUCUGCUAUUCUGCUUCAACUUCAUUACAAACAAACCAUAAACUUCUCCCUUUUUAGUAAAAAACAAAGUAUUUUUUUUACAGAAGAAACAAAGAGGCAAGAAAACCAAAUAAAGCAACAAACAAAACAGAGUUUUGAGAUUAUGGGGAAACACUUGUUCCGAUCAUCUCCUCCACCGGAGAAACAACCAGCUCACCAAACACUCGCCGAGUCAGCUGUACAAGAGUGUAUCAGCAAAAUCAACACAGUCAUAUCCAAAUGGACUUCUCCUUCUCCUUCUUCCGACGCACACCUCUUCUCCACCAACAGUCGUCGCGAAGCAGAGGAGUUCGCUGAAGCCGUCAGGCAUCUACACAUCACGAUGCACCGUUUAGCCGCCGUCAACCCCUCAUCUGAAAAGCUAGUCUACGCUCAGAACCUAAUGCAGUCAGCUAUGAACCUUCUCGAAUCAGAAUUCCACCGCGUGCUGAAGGAGAACCGACAGUAUCUAGACCCUGAAUGCGUCUCAGUCCGAUCCUACAGAUCGUCUAGAUUCGCAUCGACACCAACCAGCGUCUCCGACUCCGAAGACGAAACCUUCUACGAAGAGAACGCUGCAGAAGAACAUAGAUUCUCCGGGGGAGAUUCCGACGCAAUGGACGAUCUCAAGAUGAUUGCUGACUGCAUGAUCUCAACCGGAUACGCCAAAGAAUGCGUUAAAGUCUACAAAACAGUACGGAGAUCGAUCGUGGACGAGACGCUCCACGGCUUAGCGGUGGAGAGAUUCACUCUCCACCAGGUUCAAAAAAUGGACUGGGACACUCUCGAGUCCAAGAUCAGGACCUGGCUGCCAGCUGUCAAGCUAGCCGUUAGGUCCCUCUUUUUCGGAGAGAGGCUUCUCGCCGAUCACGUCUUCUCCUCCUCCCUCAACAUAGUCGAGUCCUCCUUCACCGACAUCACUCAAGAAGGAGCCUUAACGCUCUUCACCUUCCCGGAGAACGCGGCCAAGAUCAAGAAACUCUCGCCGGAGAAAAUGUUCCGGUUCCUCGACAUGUACGAGUCCCUCGCGAGCCUCUUCGUCGAGAUCGAGUCCAUCUUCUUCUUCGACUCGGCCGCCGCCGUCAGAGCUCAGGUGAUCAACUCGCUGGCGAAACUCGGCGACGCGGCGAGGCUCAUGAUGACGGAUUUCGAAACGGCGAUUCAGAAGGAAACCUCCAGAACGCCGGUCGUCGGCGGCGGCGUUCACCCUCUCACGCGCUACGUCAUGAACUAUCUCUCCUUCCUCGCGGACUACGACGAGUCCAUCGCCGUGAUCUUCGAGAACUGGCAGAUGACCUCGCCGCCGGAGUCUUUCGCCGGAGAAGAAGCUCGUCCGGAGGAGCUGUACUCGUCUCCGGUGUCGGUACGUAUCGCGUGGGUGAUCCUCCUGACUCUUUGUAAGAUCGACGGCAAAGCUCAGCCGUAUAAAGACGUGGCGCUGUCUUACCUCUUCCUCGCGAACAAUCUCCAAUACGUCGUCGUUAAGGUGCGUUCGUCGCCUGGCUUGAAGGUUCUUCUCGGGGAGGAUUGGGUGGUGAGGCACGAGGGGAAGGUGAAGCAGUACGCGGAGAAGUUCGAGAAGCUCGCGUGGGGGAAAGUGGUAACGUCGUUACCGGAAAAUGCUAAGGAGGAGAUUGCGCCGGAGGAGGCUAGAGAGCUGUUCGGUAGGUUUAACGACGAGUUCGAGGCGGCGUACCGGAAACAGAUGUCGUGGGUGGUGCCCGACCCGAAACUUAGGGACUGGAUCAAAAUCUCGUUGAGUGGGAAGCUCGUGCCGGUUUGUGCCGAGUUUUGCGAGGUGAACCGGUUCGGUUUGGGAGGAGAUGGGUUUAAUGUCAGGUAUACCCCUGAAGAUAUUGGAAACUACUUGUCGGAUCUUUACUUUGGAAGUAGAGGGUCAGGGAGUGCGUCGACAAAAGGCUCAGGUUCCGGAUCCGGAACCGGUUCGUCGACUACGGUUAAAUCUCGUGGAGGACGUAGCCAUUGAAUGAGAAUCUCGUGAUAUAUUAAAUUUUUGUUUUAGUUGAUGUGGUUAAGUGCAUACAGUGAUUAUGUAUGAUCGUGUCAUAUAAUUAAUAUGUUAAAUUAUUCAUCGAAUUAUCGUUAUACCAUAAUAAUCAUUCGAUAAUUUUUUGGAAUUUUGUGUUUAUUAACGACAAAAGAAAAUACGAUGAUUGUUUCCGACGCUUGAAGAUUUAGUUAGUACAAAGACAAACUUGUAUAUAGUAUGUGUCGCUAUCACUCGCAGUCUCGCAACUAAUUUAGUUUGAAAUUAUGUUGCGGAGUCUUUUGACUAAAUGUUAUUUUCGGUGGUAUACCGUAUAUGUAACUCCAAGUUGGUUACGAAUUCAAUGGCUUACCGAAUAAUGCAUUGCAUUAAAUUUGUAACAUGACAGAGAGGUUGAGAACGAUAGUGAAUCUUAUCAUAUGUAUUCAUUAAUGACUUUUAUUCGGAGACUUGAGAUACGGAACCUCACGUUAUAUUUCUAUACAAACGUAACACAGAUCUUAUCUCCUCGUUAUGUGGCAUGUUUACAAAAUACUUGGCGUUAAUUACGCGUACUUUUAACUUCAUUUCACAUAAUAUUUUUGUUUAAGACCUUUAGGAUGAUCACACUGGCAACCACAAGAACUAAGAAAGAAAAAGACAUUACUGGUUGAAUGAUAUAUAUAGGCAAUCACAUCACACCAUGAAAGUCUGCUAUUUUCGGUCCCAUUCUCCUUGAUUUAAGGAAAAAUCAUGAAUUAGUUAGACAAUUAUAGGCAUUUUCAAACCUACGUAACAAAAUCACAGCUCAGUCUCCACUCUUUAACUGUAUCGAAUAAAAAAUUGCUAAGCAAGAAGAAUAUCUUGAUUAGGAAAAUGCAUUUUAGUGACUCUGCUAGAUGAUAUAGCUCAUGUAACACAUUAAUGGAACAACUUUUGAUGUCUUUGAGAUGAUUCGCUGGUCUUAAAGCUUAAACAAUAUAGAUUAUGGAGUCGUUGUUGGGGUCCAAAUAACCCAUGCGGAGAUUGAUCUCGCCAUAAGUUUAUAUAGUGUUUUAAAUGUUUCGUUUAUUUUCCAACUAUUUUUAACAUCUUUUUGCCAUGCACUAGGUGUUUAUUUUGAUUGUUUUAUACUACUCAGCUUAGUUUAGAAAAAGUGGUGAGGUAAGUGGUGCACCACAAACCCUUCCGAAAACAUCAAAAAUGAGUUAAGCCAGUGCACAGAAAAUAAAAUAUUAAAGAAUUCAGAAUUCAAAACUAUAUCACUAGAAAGAUUACUCAUAAAGGUAUGCUUCAAAUGGAGAUAGAUUGAUUUAUACUUACUGUGUUAAUUAAUAGUUCAUUUUGAAAAAAAUGACAGAAAGCUUGGAUUAUAUGGAAAUUCAGCCAGGAAAUCCCUUGCUAGCAAAUUAAAAAGACACUAGGACUAUUGAUCAUGAAUUGCUUCGUAUUGCUUUUUAGUGUCUCACUUGUUUUGUUGUUUUCUUUUUGAUUCCUGUUUACCUUUAUUUUCUUUUUGAAACUUUUUUAUCGAAGUGUCAAAAGAUGAUAAUGAGUCCAUCAGUUUUCUAAGUUUUCUGUCUAUCAGCUUGAACAACUACUAACAUCAUGAGCCUAUCUUAACUUAUAAUAUCUUACAUUCAUGGAGACUAUAGAAACAUUCGUUUAUUCACUGUAAUAACAUCUUACAUUCACGGUUUAAGAAAAGCCACAAUUUCACAACACAACAAACUAAAAGAUAACACAAACUUUUAAAUCAAACACGCUUUUUAUUCCACACACCAAAUCUUCAAUCAUUCAUCUUCCUCCCCAGUGGCUUAGCCAGAGAUAUCAAUAGACUUAACUUCAGGCUUCUUCUCAGGCGCUUUCGGCACCAUAACCGUUAGCACACCGUUCUCCAUUGUCGCCUUCACCUCCUCCAUCUUCGCAUUCUCCGGCAACUUAAACCUCCUCAUGAACUUCCCGCUUGCCCUCUCCACGCGGUGCCACUUGUCGUUCUUCUCUUCGUUCUCCUUGCUCCUCUCUCCGCUUAUCUGAAGUAUGUUCUUGUCUUCAACCUCAACCUUCACCUCUUCUUUCUUCAGCCCUGGCAAAUCAGCUUUGAACACGUGUGCCUCGGGCGUCUCCUUCCAGUCCACUCUCGCGUUCGUAAACGCUGCAAUGUCACGAGCGGUUGAGCCGGAAGCGUUUGCUAACGCGGAAGGAGUGAAGAAGCCCUCGAAUGGAUCCCAUGCGUCUAGUGAGAACGGAUCGAAAACGUUUGACCUGCGUCCUCCGAAAAGGCUUGGAACUAGAGACAUUGUUGUUGUUUCUUGAGCGAGUUAACUUUGCUUGGUUUUGAUUCUUGUUUUCCUUGAUCUGAUGUCUUAGAUCAGAUGAAAGGUCAGUAUAUAUAAUGUGGCGGAGGAUGAAGAGAGAACGUUCUUUGAGUUUCUUGAAUUAGAAAGUGCACACUUUUUCUAAAACCUUCGCUUAUUGUCUAGAGUCUAAAAGUGACCAGAUUUUUCUUGGCAUUUCAGGAAGUUUCGGUUGUUGACACGAGACGACGUGCAUUCCUUGGUUGACUUAUAAACGACGUGCAGUUUUUCUGUUCUUUGGGUAUCAUAUCUCCCUUUGAGAUACGAGCUCCGUGAAGAUGGCUUUUGAUUAAAGCCCAUCUUAAUUAGGACCCAUCUUGUAUAUUAUUUUGCUUACGACCCAAAAUUAUACUCAGCACCUAACAGAACUCUGAUAACAAUGCCAAUAAAAAGUUAUAGCUUUAUAACGUUGAGACAACUAACUAUAUAUCAGACAUUCUUUAUUACCAGAGUAAACAUAGCUUUCAGAUAUAAACAACUCUAUUCGAAUACAAUACUGCAACUGCUAAUAUCGAAUUAUAUAAAUGUUGCAGAAUCAAGAAAAAUUAAUAUAGGUCUUGGCAUACUAAACACCCUAUUAAUGGGUUUUUGACAUCUUGUAUAAAUACAUAUCAGAACUGAGCCACGUUUUGCUUAGAACAAACACCAAUUACUAAACAAGUGAAAAAAGGAAAUCUAGUUUAUUGAUUAUUCGAUUGAUUGCUAAACAGGUUACUUACCCGUUCUUGCAUGCUUGGUCAAGAGACUAGAUAUCAUUUAUGAAAAGACACAGAAAAAGAAGAAAAUUAAAAUAUAAUCUUAUAUGGUAGUCUUCUGCGGUUGAAAAUUGAAAAUUGUGAAGAUGGUUUUGGUUCCUAAAUAAUGGAAGGAGCUUGCAUGAAAAAAAAAAGAGAACAAAGCUUUACAUUGUAAAGAUUCUAAUAAUUGAACAAACCUACUUGAAGUCAAUGCUGCAGCAAGCUUGGUCUCUUUUCCAUGUGCUCGUACUGGACAACAAAAUGUUCCUGCAAUAACCAUCCCCCCCAAAAGAAACAUUACACACUAAUUACAAUCUAAAUCCAAAUAUCAAGAAAUACAUAUUUUCGACUUACCUUUCUGACUGUUUUGAACGAGUUUGGAUCGAGGCACUCGUAUGUUCCUCUUUCAUAUGCAGCUGUUCUUACCAAAGGCUCCCCAACUCUGAAGAACCAUAAUCUCAGUUCCUUGUGGUAAAACCAACAUCUUUCAUAACUGCAAAUAAUCAAUCAAUCAAAGCCUCAGCCCAAGAGAGCGAUGUAAAGGAAUAAUCAAAAUUGUAUGUAGAGAAAAAAUAAAGAAAACGUACAGUUCAUCUGCUGCGUAUAGCUGUGCUUCGUCUUUUGGCAUACUGAAACAAUAAUUAGAACAAAGUCAAUGUGUUUAAUUGAAAACAAAGAUGAUUCAUAAGAUGUUGAAUACUCAUCUCUUAACAAACCUGUAAAAUGUGUAGAACAAUAACUCAUACGAGAACUUUUUGAAACUUGCUCGCUGCAACCAACGGAAAUGAUUACACAUUUGUUAUUAAAUAACACUCGAGCAAAGGGAAUCACAGAAUCCAUAAGAGGGCACUUACAGUUAACGGAGGAGGUGGUGUGGCGUAGUAACAACUUGGUACUGUGAACUCGACCUCAGUCUUCGCCGGUUCAUUGGUCCAAGGGGAAGCAAAGGUCUUGUAAAGUUUUCCAGUUGAGUUCAAAUCCAACCCUAGCGUCGUUAAGUCGAUGCCAAGAGCAAGAGAGGUCAAUUCAGGGUUGCUCCCGUUUAGUACCUCUAGCAAGCCCAGCAGGCAGAAAGGAUCUGCCUCCGCUUGUGCCGCUUUCAACUCAGAGUCUCUAAAUUGGUUCAUGGAUGACAUUUGUUGCACGGGAAACUGGGACUGGUUUUGUCUCUGCUGCUGAUACUGCUGAAUAAGCUGGUCAUAACCGUUGCUUGAGACUGGGUUGGGCGAGUUUAGAGGUCUCAAGCCAAGACCUUGUAGCCCACCAGUCUGGUGUCAAAAUAACAAUUAUAUGAGAUAUGCAAUGCUUGGAUUCAGAUAGGGAUAGGAGAAGCUGCCACUUACAGAUGAUGUAUGCUGUGGCUGUUGUUGUGGACGAUGUGAUGAAUAUGAUUCCCCCAAGUUGAAACCACCAGAUCUAGCCAUCUGCAUAGUUACAAUAUCAAUAACAUAAAUUAACCAUAUCAAUAAAAAAAAACCGGAAAAACAUUUUACUAAUUUCGAAACAAGUCUAAGCUUACAGGAAAGUUUUGAGAGUGCAUCAUUGACAUAGCAUUGUCAUGGAGCUGUUCUUUCUGAUGCAUGUCCAUUGGAUAAUCAGAACUACCACCUGCGAAAAAUCUACUACGCUUGUGAAUGAUAUAUAUAGCAGGUUUAGCUUAUAGCAGUUAGAAACACAUGCGUCGGAAACAUCUUAGAAUCUUUCUGAUGCAACAACCUAUAUAUAGAGUAAGAAGUUUAUGAACUUCCUAAGUACUUGGACCAUCUGGAAAUGCGCUUUAUUGAAAUUUUGGUGAAUAGCAUGGGAGGAACUUUUGACAAUACAAGACCAGCACCUUUAUAUCCAGGUAAGGCUGGAAAGUCCUCAUUUUGAAUGCGGAACUCCUGAUUUUGUUGGGCAAGCGGGACUCCUAAACCUUGUUUCCUCAAAGAACCUAGAAACACCACCACGAGAGUGAGGGAACACGACAUGAAAUGAAAAUACUUUUUCGAAAAUUUCUUUUAUAUCAUGUAUACGAAUUUCAAAAGAUUUUCAGCUAAAUUGACUACCGAGUUGUCCUUGAGUGCCACCAGCAGAACCAGGACGACUUGUCAGCUGAGGGAAAUCAUUAUUGAUGUCAAAAAGUGAACUAUCGUUGGAAUGAUCACCGAGCAUCAUAUUGUUAACUGACUGAAGAUGGUUCUGAGAAAGUUGGCCGCCACCAGUAUGGUAGGAAUUCCCCAGCAUAGACAUGACUUGAGAUCCUGUACCAUACAAAUUUUGCAAUCAGAUUUUAACUAUAUCUACACACAGAAACUGCUCCUUUAUUGCAUGUUUACGUAUAUAAUAUUGUAAAGUUUAAGAAAAACAAACUCGUCUUACAAACUCCACACAAUCCCAGAAUAUGUGAAUUAUAUUCACCAGUUGGUUCUAUUACAAAAGAAGUCCAACUAGUGAUCUAAUUUUUUCCUCAAAAAAAAACUACUUAUUUUAAGUUGCUACUAAACAAAUCACCCUUUUAUAUAAUUUCAACAGCACUUCCUAGUUACUAUACCAAAUACCAAUAAUCAUAAGAGUAAAAAGGUGCCUUCAAAAGUUCCACAUACCUUGAGGAAGUCCACCCAUCAUGCGGUUCUGUCCCUGAACACCUAACCCUGAUCCGCUAUUAGCUCCCAAAUUUAGCCGAGACGUCGAAAGACCAGGCAUAGACAAUCCACCAGAGCUGAUAUUCCUCAAGUUACCUCCACCAACCAUGUUCCCCAUAGAAUUCGUUGUUAUCCGAGGACCAGCGUUUCCCAACAGCUGGGACAUCCCCAUCGGAACACUAUUCCGGUUACCAAGUCCUGGAGAAGUGGAGAGAAUCCCAGGAAUAGAACCGGCGCCUCCAUUAGCAUUACUACUAAAACCAGGGUUGCCAAUGUUAAUCCCUCCUCUAUUCGGGAUUCCCGAAUGCCCAUGUGAGCUAUUGUGAGAUAACUACAGAACAGUAACCGAAAAACAUGAGAUAUAUAUAUUAAGAGGAAAAAGAACAGAUGUUUUGAAAGAGUUUUGAAGCACCUGAGAGAGAGGAGCGGGAAGGUUACUAGAAGCAAAUCGUCCACUGGAAAAACUCCCGUUAGGUUGUUGUACACCGGGGGAUGGGAGACUAUUCAUACUUGAGUUUCUUGAUGAGAGUGUACCUUGCAGGUUAUAACUCCCAUGAAGGUUAUGAAGUCCCUGAAGAUUUCCUGCACGAAGAAACACGGUGAUGCUAUGUAAGUUACAGAACAAAGAAAGAUAUAUAUAUUAAAAAGAGAAAUAUAACAAGCCCACCAUGAAAACCAGGAGAAGGAGCACCAGACUGUCCGGAAUAGGAAGAAGCAAAAGAUCUGCCUGAACCGUCUGGUAAAUUGGAAGCUGAACCAUUAAGAGAUGACUGCAAACACAACAACAACAACACAAGAAAGAAUUAGUGGCGAAACAAUAUUUAACAAAAAGACAUCUUAAUUGUAAAAAAAAAGGGAAGGUAUACAUACAUGAAGGUUUGACAUUGCACGAGCUGAAAAUCACGCGAGAGAAAAUAUCAUUCGGUGACAAGAACAAUCUGUGAAUAUACAAAAACACACGAGUUAAUAAGCUUGAGAAGGGGACAAAAUGUCAACGAAGCUCACAAUCAAAAUAACCUGGGACAUGAAACACAAUACAUAGACAUAGAUCUUUUAAAUAACAAUGGGGCAGCACCACGGGGAGACAAAUGAAUCAGCAAACAAAUGUAAAACUAUCGAAAUUGACAUGGAUCCAUUUUAUAUAAAAAAAAAAUAAAAAAUCAAUCAACACAAGAGUAACUCUGCGGGUGAGUAAAACCCGAGGUAGAGCGAUGUGGUAAAAAGAAGGAAAUUGAAGUAGGAAAACCCUAGAAUCGCGAGAUUUAAGUUCACACAACACUCACAGUACAAAAAGGAGGAGGGAGAGGAUAGCACGCGCUGCCGGAUUCGCGAACAGCGGAGGUGAAUCGAAGGAAGGAUUGAGAAUCGGAACGAGAUUUAUGGUGCGGCGAAUCGGAGAUUUUGAUCGCAGAGAUUGGUACCCUAAAUCGAAAAACGGAUAUAGAAAGGAGGUGGAAUGAGCAAGAUUUAGAAUUAUAGAAGAAACCCAAUAUUAUUUUUUUAUUAAUAUUAUUAUUUUUUGGCGAAUGAUUUGAGAAAAAUAAUAAUAUCUUUUUCAGAAGGGGUCCACACAACAACAAAAUAAAGUCUAAACAGACAAGAGUGUUUCUGUAAGAAAAAGCCUUUAUUCCGACCAUUGUUUGGGCCCAUUCGAACAGGCCCGGUCUUGUUCCGAGUUAUCUUUGACUGAGAGCCAUCCUUCUACGGAUUGACUCCGAAGCUGUGAUCCACAGGGAUGCUAAAGUUGCGGAGUUUGGACUAUCUAAGACCAGAGAUCGAUCAGCCUCAUGUGAGUACUGUUGUCAGAGGAAGCGCUGGCUAUCUCAAUCCAGAAGACAACAGCUCACAGAGAAAUCAGACAUGUAUUUAUUAGGAGUCGUUAGCAGAUGUGUUGUGGAAUCUUGAUUAAUGAUUAUGCUUUGCAGCUAGAAGAAGCUGUCGUUGAUGGUGAUCAAGAAGAAGAUAACAGCACGAGCAAUUUUAGUGAGUUGCUUUUACGGUUCAGUGACUACUUAGAGCACCCGCAACCGUGGAUUUUGAUCAAUCCUUAGCCCAAAUCCGUUGGUUUAGGGUAUUAAAAAAAUAAUAUUUAUGCUUAAUGGAGGAAGGACUGGGCCGUCGCGAGGGUUUAGACGGAUCGAAUCCUUAGAGACGUGGCUUCUUCUGAGUGGGUGCGUGGGCUAUGCGUUUGGGUGGGGUCAAAAAAAAAAUUCAUUUUCCAUCGAAACCGAAAAAAAAAAAAGUAAAGGAGAGAAAGGCGAUUUACAGGCGAUCUCUCUCGAUCUCGCUCCCUCGGCUCCAGCUAAGGUAAAUCGAAGCUUUAACUCGUAGAUUUCUUGAUUAAGAUCACUCUUCAUGUUCUCUGUUCUCUAUUAAGGGUUUGGUGGUGUGGUUUCGACCGAAUUUAGUUCAAUUGAGAAAUUAGGGUUUGUAAAAAUUUUGGGAUAAAUAGUUAUUUCUUGUUUAUGGAUUGUAUCGGUCUCGGAUAUCCUCUUUGUGUCAAUACGGAUUGAAACAGGUUGUAGUUUCAACCGAUUUGCCGUUUCUGAACUGUUUUCAAUUGAAACUUUUUUAGUGAUAUUGUUAUCUUAUAUGUGUUCGAAUUCACUUUGUUGAUGUUGUUUUCGUUCCUUCUAGCCAGUUUGCUUCCUUCUCGUCAAUUUGCUUUAACUCUAGUGGUUGUUUAACUCUGUCUGUUUUCAUUUUCUUUUCAGGUUUACGAUAAUGGGACGAUACAGUUACAGCCAGCCAUCUUCAUCAUCAAACUCUCAAGACUUAAACUCCCUCCUUCAAGCCGAAGCAGAGAUGUACGCGGCUGAAGCUGAGAUAAGUCAGUGGAAUGCAGAGGCCAUUCACAACGAACCAUCACCAGAGGGUGAUGAUGGAAUCCCCAGGACAUGCUACUGUGGGUCGGAGCCUGUUCACGGUUAUGGACUAACUCCUAAAGAUCCAUACCGACGGUACAUUACGUGCCCCAAUGGUGAUGAUGGAGACUGCCACGUCUGGAAAUGGUGGGACGUGGCCGUCGAGGAGGAGAUGAGGGACAUUCAGACGGAGCUUAGUGAGCUUAAGGGUGAAGCCAAUGAGCGUGAGCAGAAGCUGCUCAUCCUUGAGAAGAGAAUAGGCGAGCUUACAAAGAAGAAACCAGGAGCUAAGCUAAUGGUCUUUACCAUAGUUUUAGUAGGGUUGGUGUUACUUAUAAAUGUGCUAGGUUAGUUUUUUUAAUUGUUUCAUCUCUUAUAGUUAUCAAAUUUUAUAGUUUGAGAAAGUUGAUUGUUCGUUCUUCUUUUUCAGGAAAAAUUCUGAAGGAUUCAAAGGAGUGGGGCGUACCAGCCAUGUUUCUUUAACGAGGUAAUUUUUAAACUUUCUGGUGUUUUAACUAUUGAAAACUAUUAGUGGUGUUUUAGAAACCGGAAGGAAAAAUAGCUACAAAACUUAAGUUGCUAGCUACGGUUGCGGGUUUACUUAGUCAAAGAGUUAAUGAAACUCAAUUGCUUUCCACCCUAUGAGCUGGUUUGAUUUGAUGUGCUUUUAUUGGUGUAGAAUAGUUAAAAAACUUAAGUUGCUAGUAGCUACCAUUGUACUUUACUUAGUAGAAUAGUUAAUGAAACUCAACUGCUGUGGUGUGAUUGCUUUUAAUUAGUUAAGUGAUAGAAGGCUUAUUAAUAAGCCUUCUGUGUCGCUAGUAGAGUGUCACAGAGAAGCAAUUGAAACCAUGGCUAAUAACUCACAAAGUUUUACUAGCUUUCUCCUUAGUCAAAAUACAGUUGACCUUGAUUCACCAGAACCUUUUUGGUUCGGUAGUCAAGGUCCUGAUGUGUCUGGUAGCGAGGUUCCUGUUGCGUCUCCUGUGCUGUCUGGUACCGACGUUGGUGCUAAGUCUGGUGUGAAUUCUAACCCUGAGAGGAGGAAAUGGACUCUAGCAGAGGAUAAAAUCCUUAUUGGUGCUUGGCUAAACACCAGUAAGGACCCUGUGGUGAGCAACGAGCAGAAAGCCGGUGCUUUCUGGUUUCGUAUAGUUGAGUACUACAACGCCAGUCCCCUCCUCGCUGGGACAGUACGGAGAGAACUAAUGUCUUGCAAGCAGAGGUGGGCAAGGAUAAACGGCGACGUUGCCAAGUUUGCUGGCUCCUAUGAUGCGGCUCUGAGGGAGCAGAGAAGUGGGCAAAACGAUGAUGAUGUGAUGAAAACGGCGUUAGACAUUUUCUUCAAAACGUUUGGCUACAAGUUCGCCAUGGAUCACUGCUGGAGGGAGCUGAGGCACGACCAGAAAUGGUGCUCCUUAUAUCCGGCAAAGGAGAAGCGCAAACAAGCUGUGGAGGUGGAUACAGAAGAAGAGCAGUUUGUCGAUCCAGAGGUUAGACCACCAGGAGUAAAGGCUGCGAAAGCUGGUAAGAAGAAGAAGAGUGGCAGGGAGGAGGAGUUGUCGCAGCUACAGGGGGUUUUAGAAAUUAAACAAAAACUGUCGAAACAGAAGCUUCUUGAUCGUUUACUCGCAAAAGCAGAACCUCUCUCUGAAAUGGAAAUCAGUCUUAAGCUCAAGCUAAUGUCAGAAAUGUUAUGAUCUUUUAUUAAUCUUGCUUUUUAGGUAUUAUAACUAUUUAGUGUACUUGAUCACUGUGUUAUUUGAUCGAAAUUGAUAUUUUUAAAAAUGCUUACUAACUCUUGUCACUCUGUUUUGACAGGUUGACGCAUGUGGGAAGGAGUCACGGGUGCAUUUGGUCUGUAGCUCUUGUGGGAAGGAGUCACGGGUGUUGCAGGAGCCACGGGUGUUGUAGGAGUCACGGAUGACUCUGUUUCCUUUAGUAUAAGUAGUAGUGUUGUAGUUGUUUCUGAGAGUUUGUAUUAAUCAACUCUCUUUGUUUUCCUCGGAGCUGUUCUUAUCUACCACUGCACUGAAGUUUAGGUAAUCUACUCUAUUUGUUUUCAAACUUGGAAAAAACGUGUAUCCUCUAGUAUUUGAAUGAUUGUCUGAUGUUCUUAUCAAACGUGUAAACUCGGAGCUGUUCUUAUCAAACUGAUGUUUUUUGUUCUUUAAUUCAACAUAUGUAGUUUGUGACUAUUAAGAAUUGUAUCAAGCUGAUGUUUUCUUGUUCUAGACUUUUACUGAUAGAAAUAAUGAAACCAAUGUUGAACCAGUAGCAAAAAUUUGAUUACGAGUUCUAAAGCAAUGAAACCAAUGUUGAACCGGUUGCACAAAUUUGAUUACGAGUCAAACCAAACCAAUAAUAAACUUUAAUGAAAUUUGAUUAUGUAACAUUGCCCAUUUGUUUAAAAUAAUAUUUUGGUUAAACCUAUAAUAAAAAUUUCUAUCCAAUCUUAUUUGUUUAAGAUAAUUAUUUUCUAGAAAUGUCAUCAUCUUCAUCCGAUGAAGUCGAUGCAAGAUUGGACGAAAUUUGCGAUGAAUACGUGGAAGAAAUAUACAACGACAUAGUGGAGACCCAAACCAUACCACAAAGGACACGUCAGUAUGUUGAACGACACCGCAAAGGAGGACAAGACCAGUUAUGGAAUGACUAUUUCAGCGAAGAUCCGACAUUCUCGACUGCAAUUUUCAGACGCCGUUUUCGCAUGAAUAAGAAUUUAUUCUUGCGUCUUGUUCAUGGCCUAGAAGAGUACUUUCCAUUCUUCCAGCAAAGAAGAGAUGCGACCGGGAGAUGGAGUCUUACGGCACUACAAAAAUGUACUGCUGCUAUUCGACUGCUUGCUUAUGGUAAUGCGGCUGACACCGUUGAUGAAUAUCUCCGACUUGCUGAGACCACUGCACUUUCGUGUUUACAUAAUUUCACAGACGGAAUUAUACAAUUAUUCGGAAAUGAGUAUCUACGACGACCCACACCGGAGGAUCUCCAACGGCUAUUAGAUAUUGGAGAGAAACGAGGGUUUCCUGGGAUGGUCGGGAGCAUUGAUUGUAUGCAUUGGGAGUGGAAAAACUGCCCAACCGCUUGGAAAGGACAAUAUGCACGUGGAUCGGGAAAACCGACAAUUGUCUUAGAGGCGGUAGCUUCUCACGAUCUUUGGAUAUGGCACGCCUUUUUUGGUCCUCCAGGUACCUUAAACGAUAUUAAUGUUCUCGAUCGAUCUCCUGUUUUUGAUGACCUUUUACAAGGUCGAGCUCCGAGGGUAAAGUACAUGGUCAACGGACACACGUAUAAGUUGGCGUACUACCUCACAGACGGUAUAUAUCCAAAAUGGUCGACAUUUAUCCAAUCUAUCACACUCCCACAAACUCCUCAACAUGAGUUAUUUGCUAAAGUUCAAGAAGCAACCCGAAAAGAUGUGGAGCGGGCUUUUGGAGUUUUGCAAUCUCGAUUUGCAAUUGUUAGAAAUCUGGUUAAAACAUUGAACAAAGAAAAGAUAGGGAAGAUUAUGAGAGCAUGUAUCAUACUCCACAAUAUGAUAGUCGAAGAUGAACGGGAUGGAUACUCUCAUAUUGAUAUAUCUGAAUUUGAAGAAGGAGACGCCUCCAGAUGUUCAGAGGUGGAAACCGAGAUGCCAACAAAUCUGAACAAUAUCUUUCCCACUCGGAAUGAUCUUCGUGAUAGGCAAACGCAUGAAAGAUUGAAGAAUGAUUUAAUCCAAAAUAUUUGGAAUAAAUUUGGUGAUGAAGAUUAAUAAUUAUUCUAUAUUUAUGUAAAAUUUUUGUUUUUAUGUUUAAUUAAUGUAUUUUAUGUUUAAUUAUUGUUUUAAUGUAUAAUUAUUGUAUUUUGAUGUUAAGUUAUGAAUUAAUUAAUGUAUUAAUUAAUGUAUUUUUUGUUAAAUUAAUGUAUUUUUUGUUUAUUUAUAUUUCACAAAAAAAAAUAUUUUUUUUCCUAAGGAUUCUAACUUAAGGAUCACCAUUGUACACACUUUUUUAACAAGAAUCCUUAACUAUUCAAAAAAAAAAAAAAAAUUUUAAUACUUUAAUAAUCCUAUGGACUCCACAAUGGGUGCCACCAUUGUGGAUGCUCUUAGAACAACCACGGAGAUACGAGCGUUAACGAGAUGUAAUAGCGAGACAAUGACGGUUAUAAGAAAAAGAGUCAUGUUUUUUUGAUGAUCCUUUAGGUGUUUCAAUGAACGAAAUCUGAAGAACGAUAGAUUGACUUGUGUAAAUAAAACUCGAAUAUAUUUCUUGACAUUGGAUUACAUUGACAUUGCAUCGCUAAAAACAUAAGAUAAAAGGCGUAAUUACAUAUAAAACGAAACGCUACCGCAACACAUAAAACGCCGUACCCAAACAUAAUUCAAACGCAAACGCUAAGUAGAACAUGAUUUGAUUAGAAAUUUCCAGAAAAGAAAUACAGAAACGCAAACGCGAAUCUAAGAAGACCCUUAACCGCCGAAACCGUAGAGAGUCCUCCCCUGCCUCUUCAGAGCAUAGACGACGUCCAUGGCGGUCACCGUCUUCCUCCUAGCGUGCUCGGUGUAGGUAACAGCGUCACGGAUAACGUUCUCCAAAAAGAUCUUGAGUACGCCACGUGUCUCCUCGUAGAUAAGACCACUGAUACGCUUGACUCCACCUCUACGAGCCAAUCUCCGAAUCGCCGGCUUGGUGAUCCCUUGGAUGUUGUCUCUCAGAACCUUCCUGUGACGCUUGGCUCCUCCUUUGCCCAAACCCUUUCCUCCCUUUCCACGGCCCGACAUUUUUUUUCCGCUUUUGAGAUAGUUUGAUGCUGAAUUUUUUUGAACAAAUUAAGAGUUGAAUUGUGGAGAGAAACUAUGUGGAAAUUGAUUUUAUAGGGAAUACGGUGACCUUGUAAUUUAGGAAAUCAGAUCGAGUAUUAGAUCUGACGGCUCAGAUUGUCGAUCCGUGUAUAUAGAGAAAAGGUGUGCGAGUCGUCGAUCUAGUUUAAUCAACGGUGUAUAGUAGUGAUCCGCGUAUUGAUAGUGUGAGCCAAUAAGAAUCGUUUUUCAUUUACACGAGGCGCCAGGAAUGACGGUAGUGAAGCGCCAAAUUUUUUAACUUCGUAAAUUCAGUUUUGCGCCACUUUUUUGAAACUUUUUCAUAUGCGUUAUUAGGAACAAUAAAUUACAUGUUGCAAGUUUGCAACCAAAGCUUAUACUUGGUCCGUAUUAUUAGUUGACAUUCACAAAGAUUGAAAUUAGAGUAAUUAAUCAUCAGCAUCUUAUGAAUUUUCAGGCGUGACACUCAAAAGAGUUGAACACAUAUUACAGUGAGCCUAAAGUCAACCAAAGAAACUAAAAAUAUGUGGAGUAUAUAUGACAUAUCAAAAGCAAAAUGUGGUUCUUGUAACACAACAGUACAUGGUUUCAUUAUUUGGUGAGUUCUCUUGCAAAUUUCAAGUCGUGACACUAAAGAGUAAACACAUAGAAAGACACCGAGUAACAGAUAUAAAUGAUAUUUGAAAUGUCGAAGGUGAAAGCAAAAAUGACAUGUUCCGUGGUACUCGAGACACAUAUUGUCGUCUCUUUGCAUCCAAAGACACAUUAUAAUUUUGGCACGCUUUAGUAAAUUCGAGACCAAAAUGUCCAUGUUUUAGUUUCUGAAGGAAGCACCAAUUAAAGUAGUUGUUUCUUUUUAUAUUAAUAAAUUAAACGGUGCGUUGUGUUAUGAUAUAGUGGUUACAUAGACAUGGAUAAGAAAUGGUGGUUAGACGUGUAUGUUAGGGAGUUAUUGUUAUUGUU